AAAUUUUAGAUCAAAGUUAUUGAUCUUGUUUUAUAUGGUAUAAAGAAUUUUCUAUCAAAAUUUUAUAUGAUUUGGAUAUUUCUACACCGUUAAACUUGCAACCGGCUCACCACGGCCAUUAAAAUUAUUAAUUUUGAACCCCUUCGAUCACUAGGCAAAUGAUAUCGAAAAAUCACAAAAUUUAUUUUCUAGGUACUUCAAAUACUCUAGAUCAACUAUAACGGAGUCGAUCGUCGAUUCGAAAGUUCGAACAUCGAAAACAACUUGGAAGCACGGAGGGCUCCGUGCUUCCAUAAGCAUACCAGCCCACUAUAUAUAUACUCUGUUGCCAUCCAUUUGUUUUCGACGAUAAAACCUCCAAAUCAACGAUCAAUAUUAUUAAACAUGAUCUAUACUACUUGAAGUUUUGAGAAACUAAAUUUCAAUCUUUUCGACAUCAUUGACUUAAUGAUCAAGGGGUUUCAAAAUUUAUAAUUUUAAUAAUAGAUAUAAGCCGUUUUUACGUUUUACUGUAUAAGGCUAUCCAUAUCAAUUGAAUUUUAGUUAGAAAAUUCUUUAAACUAUUUUGAACAAAAUCUAUACUCUCAAUCUUAAUUACAAAAUUUUUAAAUUCACUUUUUAAAGAAUAUUUAUUUUUUGCCGCUCAUUUUUGUGUCCACUUGAUGAAUAAGAAAAUAAUAUCGAAAAAAUAGAAAAUUUGAUUUCUAAAUGCUUCAAGUAAUAUAUAUCAUGUUCAACAGUAUCAAUCGUCGAUUCGGAGAUUUUAUCAUCAAAAAUAAAUCGGUGGCAGUAGAGCUCGUUUCCUAUCAAUAGUAUUGCAGCUCAACUAGAGAGAGAGAGAGAGAGAGAGUUAAAAUCGAAAACCUCUUUUGUUCCAGUGAAACGCUUUAUUUGCGACGUCUCUGAGUCCGCACCGAUCGGAGAUUUGUCUUGCCCCAGGUGUCUACCUACGAUCCGCUCAUCGCCGAUCCAACGGCGCCAACCACCGCGUUAUCAUCAACGCAGUGGCAUUUCGGAGAUUUUCGGGAACUCCGGGGGCCCUUUUUCUAACUGGAGAGCCGCUUUGGUCGUAUCGAAACAUUUUUUUAACCCUUUAUUAGCCGAAGUACCGCGCACGCGGACACGCGCUCACCGCGGCGACGGAGAGACAGAGAGAGAGAGAGAGAGAGAGAGAGUGUUAAGCUGGAAUGAUAUCAAUAACAAACUGGCUCUGUUGCCAUCUAUUUGUUUUUUGACGAUAAAACCUCCAAAUCGACGAUCGAUAUUGUUAAACAUGAUCUAUACUACUUGAAGUUUUGAGAAACUAAAUUUCAAUCUUUUCGACAUCAUUGACCUAAUGAUUAAAGGAUUUCAAAAUUUAUAAUUUUAAUAAUAGAUAUAAGGCGUUUUCACGUUUAACGAUAUAAGGCCAUCUAAAUCAAUUGAAUUUUAGUUAGAAAAUUCUUUAAACUAUUUAGAACGAAAUCUAUACUCUCAAUCUUGAUUACAAGAUUUCUAUCGUCACUUUUUAAAGAAUAUUUAUUUUUGGCCGCUCAUUUUUGUAUCCACUUGAUGAACAAGAGAAUAAUAUUGAAAAAAAUAUAAAAUUUGAUUUCUAAAUGCUUCAAGUGAUAUAUAUAAUGUUCAAUAAUAUCAAUCGUCGAUUCGGAGGUUCUAUCAUUAAAAAUAAAUCGGUGACAAUAGAGCUCGUUUUCUUUCGAUAAUAUUGCAGCUCAAUUAGAGAGAGAGAGAGAGAGAGAGAGAGAGAAUCGAAAACCUCUUUUGUUCCGGUGAAACGCUUUAUUUGCGACGUUUCUGAGUCCGCACCGUUCGGAGAUUUGUCUUGUCCCAGGUGUCUACGUACGAUCCGCUCAUCGCCGAUCCAACGGCGCCAACCACUGCGUUAUCAUCAACGCAGUGGCAUUUCGGAGAUUUUCGGGAACUCUGGGGGCCCUUUUCUCACCCGAGAGCCACUUUGGUCGUAUCGAAAUUUUUUUUUUAUAACCCUUUAUUAGCCGAAGUACCGCGCACGCGGACACGCGCUCACCGCGGCGACGGAGAGAGAGAGAGAGAGAGAGAGAGAUUGGGGUCGUGAGGGGACGGGCGCGAAUCUGAAAGCGUCCGCGGAGGAGGGAGAGAGAUGCUGAGAGGGUACGGCGCCUCAACGGCGGCGGGAGGAGGUGGGCGGCGACGGUGCGAUGCGCAAGGGAGGGGUCUCAAUCUGCGGCGGUGGUGGCGGCGGCGGCGGCUUUGGUGGCGGAGGAGGCGGUGGCGGAGGCGGAGGCGGAGGGGGGUGGAGGGAGGAAGGGUUUGGCGGAGAGGCUGAGGAUGGGGAGCUUGGUGGAGGAUGGGCUCUCGUACAAGGAGAGCUUCAUCGUGAGGUGCUACGAGGUGGGGAUCAAUAAGACCGCCACCGUGGAGACCAUCGCCAACCUUCUUCAGGUACAUCUUGCUGGAAAAAGAAAAAAUUGAACCGUAGAUUUGAUUUCUCUGUUGCUUUUGGGGUGAAUUGAGUUGGGUUUUCCCCAAAUUUCGAAAUGUGCUAACAAUUUGGUCAUUUUUGAUAGAUUCAAUUGCUGUGGUCGAAUAUAAUAAGUGAGAAUUCUAAAAACUAUAGCGAUUUUGAUUCGUUUUGACUUUUUCCUUAUUUUGUAAUUGAUACCUAGUUUCUUUCUUUUGAUUUGACUUUUUACUCAACGAAACUGGGGAUCUUGUAAAAAUUAACAGCUCCAUUUUGCUAUUGAGUGUUAAUUGAUAUCAAAAUCCACACUUUUUUGGUUACAGAGUAGUUAGAAUUCAUGUGAUCUGUUGAUGUUAACUAAUUACAAAAUCUACGCCUUUUUCGGGUAAAAUAAAAUUAGUUAGGAGGUACGAAAUUUGACUGAAUUACUGAUUAUUUUUAGCGAAAUUCCCAAAUUUGUGGAGGUGUCAAAAAAAGAAAACAAAAAAGAAGUUCAGGGGCUUUUUUCAGUAUAGCCUGUAGUUGAGGCCAGUAUUAUACAAUUAGGUUCAGAACAAUUAGGAUCAAAUUUGGUGUAUUCUUUUAUUAUAUUCAUAUGUAUAAUAUUUUUCUUAUGAUUUAUCUCUACUUAGUCGUUUCUUCAAUAUAUAUAUAUAUAUAUAUAGAGAGAGAGAGAGAGAGAGAGAGAGAGAGAGAGAGAGAGUGUCUGGCUAUGGUGCCUUCAGAAGUACUACUCAUAUGGCGCUUCCAAUGUUUUAACUCUUGGAUCAAUCCUUUUGAUCAUUUCUAGCCUUUGGAUUAAUAUUAUUUUCCCAGGGAGACCACUAAACCGUGGGAAGACCACUAUCAUUCCAAUCCUACAAUCUUUGAGUCAAUGACCAAAAAGUUGGAAACACCAACUCCUUUAUACUUCCGAAAGCAUAGUAACUCUACAUUAUAUAUAUAUAUAUUCUAGCUGAAGAUUGUGGAUUGUAUGAAUUGUUCUUUCCUUCUCUCCUUCAAUUAUGUAGUGGUGACUUGCAAUAAAAUUUUCAUGGAAUUUAGACUUGGUUUAUUCAUGUUUUUUUUUGUUCGCUUUCUUUACUAACAUUAACAUCUCUGAGUUUGUUAUCUAUCUGAUAUAUAAUUUGUUCCUUAUAUGUUUUGAAUUUGAAAGUUCCAAUAGGCCAAAUUAUUUAAUUGAAUGCAUUAAGCCACUAGCUUAUUUAGAAAAAAGAAUCAGUUAUGUAGUUCUCUAUUUUGUUUUUUUCCCAUUAUUUCUUUAUCUAAAUUUAUGCACGUUUUGCUCUUAUUUCAAUGCAGGAAGUUGGAUGUAACCAUGCACAGAGUGUUGGAUUUUCUACAGAUGGGUUCGCCACAACUACCACCAUGAGGAAACUUCGCCUAAUUUGGGUUACUUCUCGCAUGCACAUUGAGAUAUACAAAUAUCCAGCUUGGUAGUUUUCUUUUUUGGUUCAUAUGCGUAUCCUUUUUAUUUAAAUGUUAUCAUCCCUUUUUUUUCCUGACUUUACAAAUUAUCGCGUGCUCUUUGUUAGGGGUGAUGUUGUGGAGAUCGAAACCUGGUGCCAAGGAGAAGGGAAAAUCGGCACUCGGCGUGAUUGGAUUCUGAAAGAUUUGGCUACUGGAGAAGUUAUUGGUAGAGCUACUAGGUACCUUUUUCGUGCUCUAAUUAAUACAUUUUGUAUUCUUACUAUAAAAGGAAGUUCAAAGCUGAAAAUUUUAGUCCUACUUAAAUUAGUUUGUUUUCCACAUGUUGGCAACAAAAGCUACUCGUGAAUUCUGUAUAAGCCACUUGUAACUUAUCAUGAUCACAAUUAUGCAUGCCUUUUCGAACAAUUUGGGAUCACUUUGGCACAACUCAGAGAUGAAAAGGAUUCAAAGUUGUUGACUAAUAUUUAAAAAUGGGCGUCACCCUGGCAUCAACCCUCUAUUUUUGUCUCUCUUUCUUUUUUUUGAAGGUUGAUGCCAACCCUCUAGGAAUUCAUGCCAUGAAAUGUAUGGAGGAUGAGUAGCAUUGUUAAGGACCACGCAGGACAAAUUUCGGUUUUCCAAUUUAGUCAUUAAUUAAGUACCGAUAACUUGCUUGUAAUAGUCUUUCAAUUUUUUUCCCCUUGAUGGAGGUUAAGAUUUGGCGCAAGAGACCUUAUCUAUGAAAAAGCAUGUGUUAGUGAUGAAAUAUUCUUAUUUACUUACAUUAUGGUGUUCUGAAUAAGAGUGCGGUUGAGGUAGGACUAAAUUUUUACUACAUACCGGAUUAAAAAGAUACUCAUAUGGACGUAACAAAGCAGUCAAUUCAUUAACUAUGACAAGUGCAAUGAUCCUUUAAAUGUAUAAAUACUCUUGAAAUGCAACCGGUUGACAGGUUUUGGAGGUUGAACAGAAAAUUUAGCUGGUCCAUGUGUCCACAUAAUAGAAAAGGUUAAAAUGAAGCAGCUAAAUCACUUAAUCCUAACGUGGAUUAAGUUAUCAUCAUUCUUUCUAAAUAUCUUUGGCAAGCUAUGCAUGCAUGAUAAUUUUUUAUUGCCUUUUAUAGUUAUUUACUGUACUGUCUUGAUGUCACUUGUGGAGCAGCAAGUGGGUAAUGAUGAAUCAAGACACCCGCAAGCUUCAACGUGUAAGUGAUGAAGUUAGGGAAGAAUAUCUCGUCUUCUGCCCAAGAACUCUUAGGUAUGCAAUAGCUUCUAGAUUCUAAUUUCACAACUUAAACAGUGCGAUAGUAAAUUUUAUGAUUUUAAUUUGCUCAGUUAUUUAAGUCAAAGAUUGUUAUUAUUAGUUAUUUGUGAACUUUCUAUUAUUCUGAACCUGCCGAUUCUCAUGGUAUACUUCUUCCUGUUGUUUCUUUUAGAUAACUUACGAAUUCAUUGACAUGGAUAAAUUUAUCUAGUUCCCAUAACCUUUUGGGUACACCUCUUUAUCAAAUUAUGGGAUGUUGAUGUCAACUGGGAAACGUAACAGUUGGCGACUAUCUUGGUACAGAUUAGCAUUUCCAGAGGAGGAUAAUGGUAGCUUGAAGAAAAUUCCCAAGCUUGAAGACCCUGCCCAAUAUUCAAGGCUGGGACUUGUGGUAUACGCUUUUCUUUUUUCUUAUCGUGUUGAUAAAUCCUCUUUUAUUCGAAAUUCACUAACUUUUCCUGCAUUGUUGGAAACUUGCAGCCUAGAAGAGCUGAUCUGGACAUGAAUCAACAUGUAAAUAAUGUCACUUACCUUGGAUGGGUCCUUGAAGUAAGUCAAAGCACCAGUUUAUUUCUCUGAUUCUUACCUAAUGCCUUUUCUUUUCUUAGUCGGACUUUGUUGGUUCGGUAAAUACUUUAAGCUUUAGAUUAUGUGCUGUAAAAUUUGUAUUUCUAACCUGCAAUCGUUUUGUUAGGGUUGUACAUAUUUUUUUCACAAUCUAAUUCAUUUUUCCUAGUUUGGAUUCUUAAGAUCCUUUUGAAAAGAAAAUGUGGACAAGAGAAUGCGAUUUCAUAUGUCAUCCGUUAGAAACAAAAAACCAUUGGAGUGUUUGAAUGGAUAACGGAUCUACAAGCGCUCAAGGUAUCACAUAGUGCAUAUGUGAUAGGCGGUUGCCUAGGCAGUUCGCAUAAGAUAACAAUAAAAUUACAUGAAUACGAUAUGUUCUUAAUAAAUAAAACACACAUCCACAUACUCAGAUGCAUAUAUGGUACAUGAACCACUUUUUAGAUGUGUAUAAAAAUUUUUCGUUUGUUAUACAGUCUAUUUGUUGACAAAUCAAUCGAUCGAAACCCAUAAAUUUAUCAAAUUUAAAGCGGAUGCUUACGCAUUGACAUUCUCGGAUGACAGAGCAUGCCUCAAGAAAUUAUCGACACCCAUGAGCUACAAACUAUCACCCUCGACUACAGGCGAGAAUGCCAGCAUGAUGACGUAGUCGACUCCCUUACAAGUUUAGAGUUGCCUGAAACUGACGGCACGAACGGGUCUGCGACCGCAAAGCAUCAUGAAGAGGAUGAUCGGCCCCAGUUCCUGCAUUUCUUGAGAUUGUCCGGCACCGGGCUCGAGAUAAAUCGGGGUCGCACCGAAUGGAGGAAAUUGGUUAGAUGAUCGUUUAUUUUUGUUAUGAGGAUCAUUAUGUCUUCUAUUCUUCAUUUUUUGUUAUUUGUUUUGAGUGUAACUUCAGAUUGCUUCUUUAAAUUGUGAUCGACAUUGUUAUUACUCCACUGCUUUUUUUCUUUCCUUUCUGGGCAACUGUUAAUGCCUCUGGCGACGAUGUGCGCGAUCAUUUAAGAUAUUGUGAAUUGUAUCCAUCUUUGUUGUAAGAAUGUCUGCUUCUUGUGGAAUUUGCAUUAGUAGAGGUGAACAACCAAAAGCGAGUUCCAUAUGUUUUAAAACUACAUGUUGUUAUUAUGUGCCAAUUCAUUGUUAUGUGCUUAUUAGUUAUUACUAGUUCGCAUGGGCACUUCAAAACUAUGAAAUGGACUUUAACUGUUUAAUGCUGAUUAUUGUUGCAGUCAUAUAAUUUCUCAGAUUUGGGCCGUAAUCAUAAGCCGGCUAUAAACCGCGUAGAAACAUCAAUUCUUGCAACUGCAGAUCGAUUGCAAGAAUGUCACAGAGAUCUGCUGCAUUACUGUGGGCUCAAUUUGUUGAAAACAGCUUGCCCUCAAAAAGUGUUGCAAGCCGUUUUUCGUGCAAAGAUCAUCUUCUCAAUGUCAUCGCCGUCGAUGACAAGAUCAAUGUUUUUACUGUCACCAACCUAACAUAAUUUACAAGUCGAAUUGCAAUUAUGUGAAACCGAAUACCCUCCUUAUCAAAGUAAAUUCACUGCCAAUUAAGUUUUCAGAAUUACUUUACUCCAAACAGUAAACAAGCCAGUAAUCAACAGCACACUGUUGAGUAAAUUACUUAAAAAAGGCGAAACAAAGAAGGAAAUAAUAUGCGCAAAAAAGCGCCGAAUAAAUAUAUUGCGAUCUUCACAGAAGACAAUCAGCUGGAGCUACUAAAAUAAAAGGAAUAUCCGAUGGGGUACUUGUGCGAUGCCGCACAAUACAUUUCAAUUCCAUUAUGGCUUCAAAUAAACUGCUUCAGAAAUUCUGUCGCCACUAGACGGCCUCGCGUGUUUACUGAUAGUUUCAACUCGCUGAUCUCCUUGUCAAUGUCCUGAAUUUUACAGAAUCAGAAAUCAAACAAUGUUAACAAGAUGAACAGCAGAUGCUACGAACAGCUAAAAUAGAUGAGGCUGCAGAACAUGAUGAUCGUUAUUUACCAAAGGUUAUAUAUCAGGAAAAUAACCAUAAAUUGCACGAUAAAAUCUGUAAAUUUUGCCAUAGCCCUGAAAGAGAUUUUACCUCCAUAAAUUGCACGAUAAAAUCUAUAAGCUUGUGCUUGUGCAUGUCCUCACAAUGGUAGUUUGUUAUUAGGAAACUUAUGUCAUAGCCCUGAAAAGAGAUAAUAUAUCACCUUGUUAUUGUUACAAUUAGUUAGCCACUACAUCAAAUCGCAAAAGAAUGUGAUCUGAGCAAAGAAAAUUUGAGAAUGUAAUCCGAUAUGCAACAGAGAAUAAUUAAUCUUGAACUGAACCAUUAUGCAAGCACCUGUACUGGUUUCCUCCUCAGAACUUGGAAUGCCUCCGCCCUCAUUGAUAAAAAUCUAAGAAAUUUUUUUGCGAGUAUGUUUUCAAGCUCAUCUGCCUGUUUUACCUGUGAAUUAAAAAAAAAAAUGAGGAUAUGAAAAUAGGUUUCACAUGAAAAUAUGUUUGCUGUCCAUUAGGUUAAUUCACAAAGAACUGCUGCAUUAUAAUGAAGACCAAAUCAUGCAACAAAGAGAAUGGACAUUAACCAAUAUCAAAUAAUCAUAAAGAAGCUUGUUAUCAAAAUAUGGGGAUCCAGCAUUCGUUCUUUGUUCUCUUAGGACUUCUCUAUGGUUAGAUCCAGGACAAGUCUAAAGUGGUGUCAACUUUUCAUAAUUUGCACCGAUUAUAGGCAUGUAAAUUGACACUUGGUAUCAUAUCAGUUAGAUUCUGUUGUGGAAUCAUACAGCUAGACAUAUUCUCUUUCUAGUUGCGAUCAGUCCAAUAAUUAGGUGGUGUGGCAGCCUAGCCUUUUCAUUGGAUUAGAAGUAUGAUAUUUGUGAGCCUCUCUAGUACUGUAAAUAUUUCUAUUGAAAGGUCUAAAAAGAUAAAGUGAAUUCAAUCAGCCGGCCGAACCGUCUUUCAUAAGAAAAAUGUGCACAAUUAUGCAACUUCUGUUGAGAACCAAAUACAUGUUGUUCAAAAUAAGCAUCCAAAUUACCUUCAUGCUUAUACGGAUAGAGUUAAUUGAAGUUUCUAUCAAGCACUUCUCGGCCUCAUUUCGACAUAUCAAAACCUGUAACAAAAAUAAAAAGAUAUUGACAUAAGUUGUAAACUGUUUGAAUUUUCCUACUUUAUAUAAUGAUACUAUUGAAUAGUCUAGGACUGGCAAGUAUAGGAAUAGGACAACGAGGAAGGUAUAAGGAGAAAUUAUGAAAAGCUAGAUAUGGAUAUGGAUAGAACAUUACGGUAAAAGAUGCCGUAAGUAAGAGAAUAAAAGCAAACUGGCUUCUGAAUAAUCACGGAAAAAAAAUUCUUACUGGAUUUAGUAGAAGUUCUGGACUUGUCCUGUGAAAAUGAAAACAGAAAAAAGAAAAAAAAAAAUUAGAUCCUUCAAAAUGAAGAACAAGAAGAACUCAAGUUCAAAACCUACUUAAGGGUAAAGAUGUGAACUAAUCAUGCUUAUGAGAAAUACUGUGAACCAAGGGAAAAUAUAAAAUGAUCACCACAUGAAAGCUUAAUGGGAUUGAACUAAAAGCAGCAUGUGGUAGACCAAUUGAUACACAUUAUAGUAUAUAAUCAGACCUAACUAUAUUCAUGCUCAGUUACUUCUGAAUGGAUGAAUAAACCCAUAAAGCAUAGCGGACCUAUCAAACUUUCAUGUACACCACAAAAUCAGUGCUAUCUACAGGAAAUAUAGCAUUGAACAGAUAGAGGUCCAUGAAAUAGAGCAUAAGCUACAAGCCUCAUCACAUAAACAUAUUUGAUUUUAGCAGAAAAGAAUAACAAAUAAUUUGCUAAACAGUUAUGUAAGUUGCAUGGCUCGAUGCCAGCAAAUAAUCAUACUAGAGAUAGGAAAGAAAUAUUUUAGACAGACACAAAAUUUGCUGAAUUCGUGGGCCAAUUUAAACUAUUCUCAGUAUAAAUCACCAAUUUCAGUAUUCAUGCACUUUGCGACCCAAAUUACGUAUAAUCUACUCCUUACGCUGCACUUUCAGUAUUCAUGCACUUUGCGACCCAAAUUACGUAUAAUCUACUCCUUACGCUGCACUAGAGAUUCUUCCAUUAAUAAUAUAGACCAAUAAACAAUAAGAGAAGGGCAAAAUGCUAAAAAUAUAGAGAAGACUUUGAAAGAUAUAAGAUUAAUUAGAACUUACUUAAGUUCAACCUCUGGCUUGUUAUGCCUUUCUACUUCUUGACAAGGGAAAUUCUACAGAGUAAUUAACCAUACAAAGGAUCAGUGAUGAUUGAAUGCAGUACAGGGAAAAAGGAGACAUGGAAGACGUGGAAUGCAGCCAUUAUCCAGUUAUGAUGCCACCACAAUAGGGUCCCAGAAUGGAGUAUCUGGAGACUGUCCUAAACUUCAACAAUUUAGCAUGAAGUAGCUGCUCUAAGGAAACAUGCAACAUAAGGUUACAAGCCGAAGACUUUUACCAUUGCACCGAGCAGUAAUUAUUAAAUAGGAAAAUUGAGAUCAUUUCGUAAGUUCUCUCGUAUAGACUUCCGCUCAAGAAACCAAAAGAAUGCUAAAAAAGUAAACAAACUUAAUUUGCUUAACAGUAUAAUAGUUAUCAGACACCUUAUAGGCAUUCCAAAAUAAACGGCAGCAUGGUAAACCUCACAGGGUUCAUGAAAUAAAUAGUCUGAGCUAUUAUAUUCUUAACAUUUUUGAAGUAUCUGUCCUGUGUAUCGGCUGCCCAUGAUAAAAAACACUUUCAAUUGUCAUUGAUGAAUGAUGAUGCAGUAAUGGUUGGUUGGUCAUUUUAGAAAUAUUUUACUAAAUCAAAAUGGUAGUAGAGAUGUUACUCUCAUGAUUAGUGGCACAGUUGGCAUGGUUAACUAGACUAAUAUAGGUUAAAUGUGUUAUAAUUGCAGAAAGAAACUCUAUUGUCGUAUACAUACAAUGACGGAUAAUAUCUUCAGUUUGUUCCUCCAAAACGUUAAUGACACCGUUAAUUAUAUCCGACUUAAGGUAGUUUUACAAUGCCAAAAAAGAAACACAGUACUCGCAGCAUCUAAAGCUACUAUAAUUUUUCCUCGUAAAGACAAUGGGAGACGUUGAGAUCAGGUACCUGUAGGCACAUUGCAGCCUCCAGAGUGUUACGAAUGCAUGUUAGAUACAAUCGUAGAGUAUUAGCCUGCUUAAAUUAAAACAAGCAGAAAAUAAAAACCACGUAACUUAACCGAAAAAAAACUAUUAAGAGAAGCAUUUGUCGUAUAAAAUUACUGUAAACGUAUCAAAUCUACAGAAUGGGACACAAAAGUUGACAAAUUUAGUUUUUUCUGAAAUGGCAAGGACAGGCAAGAACUACAGAACCAACCGAUUUCAAUCGUAAGAACAAAACUACCACUUCGACAAUUCCAAAUCACGAGUACGCCAAAAGUGGAUCAAGAGUAUGAGAUCAAACGGUAAAGUUGGGGAUAAUUUGGUAUUGCAUAAAAUGACCGAAAACAGAUUAAUAGCUGUAACAUUCGGAAGCGCAAGAACAUUCAGAAGCUGCACUACCAUUACAGCAGUUCCAAGACGCGGGUACGCUAAAGAUCGGCCGUCAACGAGCCGAACUCGAGCGAGCCAGAGCCAGCUCGAGAUCGGCUCGAAAGUGUUCAAGGUCGGCUCGUCUUCGGCUCUCGUGAUCGGCUCGAAACUGUGACUCACAAAAAUGUUUUGCUCGACGGGGAGGAAGUUGGGCGGUGUACGAUCUACCUAAAUUUCUGAAAGAAAAAUCACAUCAAGCUCUAAUUAGAAGCUUGAGAAAGAAAAUCCAUUAUAUUCUGCUGAAAAAAAACCAUAAGAAAAAGAGAAAGGAAAAAAAAAAGAAGAUGAAGAUGAAGAUCAUGGAAGACGAAGAACAAACCUGCUGAAAGCGCCGGUGCCGGAGUUCCGUCGAGAUAUGCGAACGGCGAAGAAUGCGCUGCCGGGAGCGUGCGAACGGUGAAGACGGAAGAGCGCUGCCGGGCGGGGGUGGGUCUUCGGGCGUAGAGAGAGAGAGAGAGAGAGAAAAAAAAAGGGGAAAGAGGAAUUAGGGUUGGAAAAAGCAAAAGUUAUAUUAUUAGUUAGAUUUUAAUCCAACUGUUAAAAUUCUCAAUAGGAGUGUGCCUCUUCAUAAAUAAGUUGAGCUUUGCUUUUCAAGAUGUGCUAAUAAAUUAAAAAAUAAUAAACUGUAUUAUUUAUUUAUAUAUAUAAAUAUAAUAUAUAUAUAUAUAUAUAUAUAUAUAUAUAUAUAUAAAUNNNNNNNNNNNNNNNNNNNNNNNNNAAUUUCAUGUCAAUUUAUAUAACACGUAAAAGGCUUCACCUCAAACAGCAAUAUAUUCACAUAUGAUUCUGGUAAUCCUUUAAUGUCAAUUUAUAUAACACGUAAAAGACCUCACCUCAAACAGCAAUAUAUUCACAUCCCGACUGUUAGGUCGAGCGGCAAGCGUUCGGUCGAGCAGAAACCGAGCUUUACUCGAGUCGAGCGAGCAAAAACCGAGCUAUUGUCGAGCUAAUUUAAAUAAAAUAUAAUUAUAUUAAAUAUAUAUAUAUAUUAUAUAAAUAUAUAUAUUUAUUUAUUAUGUCAAAUAAUAAAAAAUUAAAGAAUCGUGUAAAACUUUUCGUUUCGAGUUGAAUAAAUACUUCUCCGUGUGAGGAUAACUCUUAAAAUUGUCAACCUAAUUUUAGAUUGAUUAUUAUAUUGAAAAACGAAAAAGGUUGGGAUUAAGGAGAAAGGGGAAAAAAAAAAAAAAGAGAGAGAGAGAGAGAGAGAGAGAGAUGCGGGCUUCUGGGGGGCGGGCCGUCGCCAUAAGGCAGAAGUGGCAAGCGUGCGAGGGCCGUCGCGUAAGAAACGGCAAGCGUAUAGAGCCGCCUUGAGGCCGUGGCCGCGAAAGUCGUCCAAACAAGAAGCAGAAGGUACUAGAAGUAGAAGAAGUAGAAAAAAAAGGAAAGAGAAAAAGAAUACCAAAAAAAAGUCGUCUUAUAUUACCUAAAAGAAAGAGUACACUAAAAAGAAUGUCUUUAAAUCCAUCUAGCAUGUGGCGAGUUGAAGGAGGGGCAGCUCGUUUUGUAAAAACACUCGGUGUCAAAGCUCGGCUAGUGCUCUCGGCUUCUGCUCGGCUGGAACUUGUGAAAGCUCGGCUAGAGCUCGACCGAGACCGAGCGAGCUCAAGCCGAGCAACUGCCGGGCUAGAAAUCGCAUGGGCGCAGAACCUUGACGACAUUACCAUCACGUCGAAGACUUACAAGAACGCGAAGGCUUACAAUGUCGAUAAUUAGACAAAAGCCAGUAAAAUACGUUAUGGUUUAAUAGGGGUUGAAAUGGCAAACUAGAGUAUGAAAACUAGGUGAAAACCGCGUGAGUACUAAACCUUAACGACUUCACCAUCAAAACAAGAAUGCUAACUUUAGCCAACCAAAACAUCAAGAACGGACAGGAACGGUAAAGUCUUUUUUGAUUUAAACAGUUGAAAACACAGGGUAAGACAUCUAAACUAUGCAAAUCUCAUUAAAAUAUGCUGUUUACGAAGAGAAUUAUCAAAAAAAAGCCAAUUCAAUGCACCAAAAAUAAAAGACGAACAAAAUUAAAUUCGUCCGAUUAUGAGAUGCUAACAUAGAUUGUACGUAAGCAUUGUGAGACCUCCGACGUUACACGGAUGUCCAUGGACUAGAGUUGCAGAGGGUAACAGAAAUGCUCCUUUUUAAUAUCAUCGAAAUCUACGACGCUCAUGACACAAAGAAAAAACCGCAACAUUUUGAUGGAAUUCAGCCUAUAUUAAUUGGUACAGUAAUUGCAAAACCUCCUUGUUUGACUUCUAUAAUAGGCAGUAACAUACAUAUGCUGUUAUCUCAAAGAAAGACGUUAAUAUUGUGUAAAUUGGACAUAAUCAGAUCAAUUGGUACGGUUGACACGGUGAUUAGUACUCUCAUUGUAGAGAUGAUGGUAAAACUAAAUCAUUUUAUAAAGAUUUUACUGGUUGGUUGGUAAUGACGUAGUAGUAAGUAGUUACUGUUAACUUUCACAAAAAAUAGUACCCGUCGGCUAUGUGUCCUGUCUAUGAAGUUUUUACAAUUCUUAUAUUAUCGAGUCUGAUAGAUAAAGUACUUGGGACACUCCAAAUGGUGCGACGGCAAAUAAAACCUUACGGAUAUUCCACAGGUUAUUGAUAAUUUGACAAUUCGUUUAAUUAAACAAAUGAAAAAAUCGUAAGAAAACCAAAGAACUCGCUUUCAGAUAUGCUCUCUUGAAUGCUUUACUAGAGUUAAAAGGAUAAAUUAUUAAUGACGAGCCACGUCACCAUUUUCAGAAGCCGAACAUUGGAAUACAACGUACAAAGGAAUCUCGUCGAUGAAGUACGAUUUAACAACUUCAAAUCCUGUCAGAGGUCUAUGAGGUAAGACCCUGGGAUAACACCACCGUAGUAUUGACCUAUUACCGACGUAAGGUGCAGAAGGUACAGAGGAAAAAGGGACAUGACGUAAGUUAGUAGUGACUAGGAAACAUACCAAUUAAUGAGACAUCUUAAAGGGAACAGUUCUUCAUCUUUCCGUAUUGUUCGGUCUCCAACUUGAAUUCAUUCAAGAUUAAUUAGAAUAUAGAAAGUUUCAGAAGAGAUAUAAAAAUCGUAAAACGGGAAGAGAAUAACAAAUAACCAGGUAUAAUAAUUACCUUCUUAGAGAUCACGUCGCAUUCCUCAUCUAAUAUGCAUUAAACCCAACGUUUCACGUACUUAUGACUUUAACCACUAAAUAUGACUCUUAUCAAAUUUAACCGGGUCCUUAAGUUGUUUAAAACACAGACAGAUUUUAUAAAGAAAGGAUAGAGAUCAUACUAAUAAACGACCGUAGCUCGGUACGUUGAAUGUAUUGACAAAUCGUUUAAUAAACAAUAAGAAAAGACGAUUUUAGUUUAUACAAAUACACUACUCCGAACAUCGAAUACGAGAUAAAGUACCUGGAGAUAGACAAAUUACGAUAUAAAGGACAUCUAUCGUGACUAAAACACCACAUGUACUUUCAAACUAUCCAGGCGAUACGAAAUACCCAAAUAAGUAGGUAAGUCUUCAUUGACUCGUACUUAUAUCAAUCCAGACUAAUAUAUGAUAUUACACAUAGUUAACCAGAUGGUGUACGACGAAAAUCAAGUUAGGGUAAUUCGAAAGUACACCACUAGUAAAAUAUAAAAGGGAACCAAGUGUCAUAAAGAGUAUUCGUACUAAUCAAGUGUAGAAAUGGGAAUUCAUCCAAAACUUGAACUCAAGAAGAACAAGAAGUAAAACUUCCUAGAUUUAAAAAAAAAAGAAAAAAGACAAAAGUAAAAGUGUCCUGUUCAGGUCUUGAAGAUGAUUUAGGUCAUUCUUAAAAAAAAGGCACUAAUAAGUCUUCGGUCAAACGAAAAUAAGAGAAUGAAUGCCGUAGAAAAUGGAAUUACAAGAUAGGUAUAGGUAUAGAUCGAAAAGUAUUAAAGAGGAAUAUGGAAGGAGCAACAGGAUAAGGAUAUGAACGGUCAGGAUCUGAUAAGUUAUCAUAGUAAUAUAUUUCAUCCUUUUAAGUUUGUCAAAUGUUGAAUACAGUUAUAGAAAAAUAAAAACAAUGUCCAAAACUAUACAGCUUUACUCCGGCUCUUCACGAACUAUCUUUGAAGUUAAUUGAGAUAGGCAUAUUCGUACUUCCAUUAAACCUACGAAUAAAACUUGUUGUACAUAAACCAAGAGUUGUUUUCAACGUAUUAACACGUGUAAAAAGAAUACUUUCUGCCAAGCCGGCCGACUAACUUAAGUGAAAUAAAAAAAUCUGGAAAGUUAUCUUUAUAAAUGUCAUGAUCUCUCCGAGUGUUUAUAGUAUGAAGAUUAGGUUACUUUUCCGAUCCGGCGGUGUGGCGGAUUAAUGACCUGACUAGCGUUGAUCUUUCUCUUAGACAGAUCGACAUACUAGGGUGGUGUCUUAGAUUGACUAUACUAUGGUUCACAGUUAAAUGUACGGAUAUAAACCACGUUUAAUACCUUUCAACUGUGGUGAAAUCUGAACAGGACCUAGAUUGGUAUCUCUUCAGGAUUCUCUUGUUUCUUGCUUACGACCUAGGGGUAUAAAACUAUUGUUCGAAGAAAUACUAAUAAACUAUAACCUAUUACAGGUAAGAGAAACAACGCUCUAAACCAGAAGUAAUAUUACGUUGUCAAGAAACACUUAAUUGGAUUACCUGUCGUUUGUAUAAAAGUACACUUUGGAUAAAAGUAUAGGAGUAAAAAAAAAAUUAAGUGUCCAUUUUGUCCGUCUACUCGAACUUUUGUAUGAGCGUUUUUUUAAAGAAUCUAAAAAUAGUUACUCCCGCCUCCGUAAGGUUCAAGACUCCUCCUUUGGUCAUGUCCACCAACGUAUUACCAAGUCAAGUUCUAAUUAAUAAGAGACAACGUAUAGUCUAAUGUAAGAGUUUAAAAGAAACGAGUCUAGUGUAAGAAAAAUGUUAAACUACAUCACCGAUUGAUUAACAUUGUUAUUGUUCCACUAUAUAAUAGAGAAAAGUCCCGAUGCUGUAUUCAAAGGAUUAUUGUUUGAUGGUAACACUCCUGUACGUGUUCGUGUUCGAAUAUCUAAAAUAGCACGUUAAAUACCUCCAUUUUAGAGAAAGUCCCGAUACCGUUUUAAAUAUCUAAAACAGCACGUUAAAUACCAAUAAAAGGACUAUAUAUUGGAAACCAUUUAUUGCUAGUAGUACAAGACGUCGGAGUAGAUAAAUUCGACAAGCAUCGUAGACGACAAGUAGAACAAUUGUAACAAACUAAAGACUAAGACAUUUUAAGUCCUGUAACUGUUCCUCUAGUCGCUCAACUUUGAUAGUCAUUUGUGCGCUCCGGCAGAUCACCGCUGUCUUAAAGACUUCGUCAAAUAAACUUCGGAUUACCUUAACUUUACAUAACACGCCGUAGCGUGUUCAUGGGGUAGCCUAUAAGGAAAAUAAAAUCAUCGGGGUCGACUAACAGAAGACACUUCUAGCGAUAUAUAAAUAAGCAGCGAAAAAACGCGUAUAAUAAAGGAAGAAACAAAGCGGAAAAAAUUCAUUAAAUGAGUUGUCACACGACAACUAAUGACCGAACAAAUGACAAACCUCAUUUCAUUAAGACUUUUAAAUUAACAGUCACUUAAAUGAAACUAUUCCUCCCAUAAGUCAAAGUGUAUUAACGUUAAGCUGAACAUUUAAUACAAUCCAACCACUGUCAUUUUUGUAACUAGAACAGUAGCUGCCGCUACUGUAACUCUUCUACUAGAAACGUGCUUUUUGCCGAACGUUGUGAAAAACUCCCGUUCGACAAAAGUUGUUUAACUCGGGUGUCAUUACGUCGUCUAGAGACACUGUAAGAACGUUAGCUAGACGUCAACGUUCUUAACUACAAAGAUGCGCCAAAUAUCGGCCGAAUACUAAUGCCGGGUUUAGACUCUUUAAUAUACUGACGUUGUUAUUAGUCGUAAUUUGUCAAUUUCAGGUAAAGUAUCAAAACUUCACGGGUACGCUUGAUCAUUAUUGAUUAUUCGUGUAUUGUUACUUAACCGUGUAUUAUUGUUGUACAUCAAAAUUUUGUAUACCUUGAGUGAAAACCAACAAGUGGAGAUGAUUACGUUUAAGGUGUUCUUCGUUUGUAAGAAUGUUGUUUCUACCUAUGUUAAGUGUUAUAGAAUUUACUAGCGCGUGUAGCAGCGGUCUCCGUAAUUGUCAACGGGCCUUUCCUUUCUUUUUUCGUCACCUCAUUAUUGUUACAGCUAGUGUUAAAUUUCUUCGUUAGUCUUCAAUUGUGAGUUUUGUUUAUUGUUUUUUACUUCUUAUCUUCUGUAUUACUAGGAGUAUUUUGUUUUUAUUUGUUAGUAGAUUGGUUAAAGGAGGUAAGCCACGCUGGGGCUAAAUAGAGCUCGGGCCACGGCCUGUUAGAGUUCUUUACGUCCUUGACCCCGGCUAGUAGGAGAAGUACUACGAAACGCCAGCGUCUGGGCAAGCACGGCAGUCAAAGCCCGUUGAGAUUUGAACAUUCCCUCAGCUGAUGCAGUAGUACGACCGUAAGAGCGGACAUCAGCUCCCACUAUCAAACAUCGAGUACCCACAGCUAUUAAAGAACUCCGUACGAGACAGUAGGCUCUUACAGUUACGCAUUCGUAGGCGAAAUUUAAACUAUUUAAAUACCCAAAGCUAGCUAACUAAACAGUUGUUUAUCUGACAUAUUGUUUGCUUUUUAAAAAUAUGUGCAGAUUUUGCACCAAGUACAUGGUAUAUACGUAGACUCAUACACCUACACACAAAAUAAAUAAUUCUUGUAUAGCAUAAGUACAUUAAAAUAACAAUAGAAUACGCUUGACGGAUCCGUUGGCGGAUAGUGUAUACGUGAUACACUAUGGAACUCGCGAACAUCUAGGCAAUAGGUAAGUUUGUGAGGUUACCAAAAAACAAAGAUUGCCUACUGUAUACUUUAGCGUAAGAGAACAGGUGUAAAAGAAAAGUUUUCCUAGAAUUCUUAGGUUUGAUCCUUUUUACUUAAUCUAACACUUUUUUUAUACAUGUUGGGAUUGUUUUGCUAACGUCCAAUCUUUAUGUUUAAAAUGUCGUGUAUUAGAUUUCGAAUUUCAUAAAUGGCUUGGUUGUUUCAGGCUGAUUCUUUUCUUUUCCGUAAUCCAUUCUUAGUCUCUUUAUUUGACCACGAAACUGAAUGAAGUUCCUGGGUAGGUUCCAUUCACUGUAAUAAAUGUACAACUAAGUACAGGUCUAGUCGAGAAGAUCCGACGUUCAAAGGUUGUUGCGUCCUUUUCAAUCACUUAAAGCUUAUUUUCUCCUAAAUAGUUGUGCUAUUCUUUUUUCUUUUCGCAUAUGGUGUUCAGGGUCGGAUCUUAUAACCCGUCCCAGAAGUUCGAACUCAUAAGAUAUCACAGUGGAUUUAUCGAACCGCAUUAGUACCAGUAUCGACAAGAUUCGAAUUUGGGACCUCAGGUACCAACCACCAAACUCUUUGUCAUUUGCUCUAGGAACGAUCGGUAUUAGGAUAGAAAAUUAGAUCCAAUAAAUAUAUAUUUCAAAUCUUAGAGACUUAAUUUUAUUUUAUUUUUUUCUCACAAACUAUUAUUCUCCUCAGUAAACAAAGAUGGAUAUCUAUGUAAGGAGGCCAUGCUCUUAUUUUAGGAGUACUCAAAAUUUGAUCAACCUUCCUGUUUGAAGGAAAGAAUGUUCACGAGUAUAAAAUACAACAACAUUACAAUAGACACAUUUGCAUCUUCAGUUUAUUGGGGAAGAUAAAUAAAAUUUGGAGUUGUUGGAGGAAGCUAGUAAUUGUGUCGAUCGACGACACGAUAAUCUCCACCUUCUUCGUUUAGUUAUGUUGGAAUUAGAGGGCAAUAAAAACUUACAAUCUGAAUAGCCAAAUCGAAGUUGAAUCGGAUUGCUUAUUUUACUAAUCUUUUUGGACCGUCCUUAUGUUGACGCUUCUCAUUUAAUGAUCAAAGCUUGCCUACUGUGGCAAUGUGCAGGGUUCCAAUGAAUCACUUUGAGCAAUUCUUAUCGCGAUGAACUCGCAAUCCAAAAAAGUAGUUACCAAUAAUCGCCACAGGAACACUGGCCAUCCUGAAAAUGAUGAAACCGCUUGAGGUCUCUCAACACAAUCUCCCUCCCAUACAAUUCGCUCGCGAACUUCAUCAGAGAAUGGCAAUCCCCGCAAACUCUGAGGUUCUUCACUAUUCUGAUGACGACUUCUCCCUUCGGAGCGCUCAGAAGCCCGAGAGCAAGUGCGAGCUUCUCGCUGUGGCAUCCCAAAGAAUCCUCCUUAUCCUCUUCCUCGAUGUUAUGAAGCACCCACUCCGUAUUCGGCUCGUAUCCCUUCUCUCUUGCCUUAACUUCGAGCUCCUCGAGCUUGCAAUAUAUGUCUUUGCUACGAGGGUGUGAUCGGUCGCCUGCCACGAAAUUGUGGGCCUUUCCCUCUAACUCUAUGCAACUCCAACCAGGCGCCUUCUCGACGCCCCGGUCCUUCAUACUAACCCUCACCUUCUCAACAUCCUCCCAUCUCCCAGCCCCCGCAUACAUGUUGGACAGGAAAAUGUAGCUACCAUGAUGGCUCGGCUUCAGUUCGAGAAGCUUGUUUGAGGCAAACUCGGACAUCUCUACAUUUUUGUGGGCUCGACAGGCCGUGAAGAGCGCACCCCAUACCACAAAGUCGGGUUCGACGGGCAUCGAUUUGAUAUAAUCAAGAGCUUCCUCGAGCCGCCCCGCCCGUCCGAACAAGUCCACCAUGCAAGUGUAGUGCUUCACGGUUGGCUCGAUCCUGUACUCCUGUGUCAUGGUAUCGAAAAUCUCGAGCCCCUUUUCGACCUUGCCCGAAUGCGAGCACGCCAUCAAUACGGCCAAGAAGACCCCUUCGUCCGGCUCGAUGCAAGAGCACUUCAUGUCCUCGAAGCACUGAAGAGCCUUCUGCCAAUGUCCGUGCACCGCCCACCCCAUUAUCAUCGCGGUCCAGGUGAGAACAUCUCGCUGGGACAUUCCGUCGAACACCCUCCCUGCGCAAUCGAUCCGCCCGCACUUGGCGUACAUGUCGACGAGAGCAGUCCCGACGGCGCCGUCGGCGCUGAAGUUAUUAUCCCUGACGUAGUUGUGAAUCCGGAUGCCGAUCUCGAGAGCCCCCAUCCUCGCGCAGGCCGAGAGGGCGGCCGCUGGGGCGAACUCGUUCGGCCGACGCCGAGGCAUCAUGGCCUCGAAGGCGCGCACGGCGCGCUCGUUGUCGCCGUUCCGGGAGUAUCCGGCGACGGCGUGGUCCAGGAGACGACGUUUCUGGCGGGGCAUUCGGUCGAACAGGUGGGCGCGGCGGCGACGCACGCGCCGUGGUGGAGCAGUGCGUGGAGGAGGUGUUCCAGAGGCGAGGGUGCGGCAGGGCAUGGCGCGGAAGGGCGCCGGGCGGGGAGGUCGCCGAGGUGGGAGAGGGCGGAGAGGGGAGACGUUCCAGAGGAGGGGUUGGAGGCGCGGUGCAGAGCGGGGUUUCGUCGAGACAGCUGGAGGCGAGGCGGGGGAGCGAAGGGAGAGGUAUGGGCGUGGGCCGAGGGAGGUGCGACGAAGGGGUCAAGGUCGAGGGCGCGGAGGAGGGCGCGGCGUGGAGGGCGCGGGCGGCGCGGCGGAGGCGGCGGCCGCGGAGCGGAGGGAGAAGGGGAGGAGAGGCGGUGUGGGGGGAGGAGGGAUAGAGGGAGAGGGAGCGGGGAGGAGCGGAGGAGGCGAGGGAGAGGCGAGGGUGGCGGCGGAGGAGGUGGCGGCGGAGGAGGUGGGAGUGGAUCUGCUUCAGUAGAGGAGGGGAGCUGGAGCAGGCGCGGAUGAGGCCGAGGAGGUCGCGCUCCCACGAAACACGCGGCGGCGGCGGCGGCGACGGCGAGAUCAUGAAGCAGAGUGCGCGGACUCGUUGCGCCGCAGUUGCCCGGCCUCGUCUAAGUAUAGAUUUGCAGUGCAGUGCAGUUGCAACUACGUCAAUCAAAUAGUCUUCUGUUACGUAUAUUUGUGCUUUACACGAAAAAGUACGAUAAAAAAAUAUUUAUUUUAUAUAUUGUGUUUUAUAUAUCAGUCUUAUUAAAAAUCGCAGAAAUAUAUUUCUAUAUAUUUUCGUUCCAGUUCUAUUUUAUCUAAUAUAAAUAUGAUUUUAUAAGUUCUUUGCUUUUUGGCCAAAUAAAUAGUAAAAAUGAACGAACUUUAAUUUCAUAACUAUAAAAACAAACGGUUUAAGGACGAAAUAAUCUUCACUUAAACUGUAGUUAUUUGAAAUUUUGAACUCUAAUAAUUGCAAUGUAUUUGUCACUAAUAUAUUCUAACUACUUAUAAUAUACCUUUGUAAUUACUUUUAAGCUUUAUUCGUAUAAUUAUUUACUUUUUUAAAAAAAAAGAGAAUUUGAGUCACGACAUUACUAUGAUAAUCAUAUCAUCUUAAUAUUUGAUAGGCAUGACCUGUUUCGAUGGACACUUAAAUUCUUAUCUCAUUACCUGUAAUUACCAAAGCAAUGGAGGAAGGGGAAUUACUAAAUAUUUCCAUUGAUGAGAGUCUUUUAAAAAAAAAAAAAAAAAUUGCUCUUAUAGAUUAUAUGCUGGUGCAUAAUCAUAUGGAAGUAUUGUAGAUAUUUGAUUAAUUUAUACACAUAUUUUACAAAUACUAAGUAGAGUAAAAGAGUAGACACAAAAAUUAGAACUUGCAAAGAUUAGAAAGUCAGAGUAAAAGUUCAUUUUUACCAAAUUCCAAAGUAUUAACUGUUAAACAAUAAAACAUUAUAUUCCCUUUAUUUGUACCAUAAAUUUUAUUUUUAAAUUAUUUUUAUUUAAUGACAGAUACUUAAAAUAAAAUUAUUAAAAAAAAUCAAAUAUAAUAAUAUAUGUAUUUAAUUAUAGAUUGAUAGAAUACAACUAAAUUUUAAUUAUGUUACAUGAUGUGAUGUAGGACCUGCUGAGAUAUCUGUAUUUUUGUUUUUUAUUUAUUUCUUUACUGUUUAUAUUGUAAUAUGUAAAUAGUUUGCGAUAAAAUUGGCUGAACAUACUGACCGUAUCUAGCGCAAAUGGCAAAGGACUUGAUGAUUGGUAUCCGAAAUAUCGAGUUUGAAUCCUAAUUGAUUCACAUAUUCAGCUAAGUUUGAAGCGGAUAACAUGCAACCUAUCUCAGAACAAAAAAAAAAAAAAAAACUUUGCUGAACAUAAUUUUUCUUCCAAUUUCUAUUCAAAAAAUAAAUUUAAGAAAACUUCAAUUAAAUUUUAUUUUUUAUUUAUUUUUUUUCACUCUACAAGUAAGAACCCUCUCUAGAGGGAAAGGUAUAAAUCCCUCCAAAGAAAAGAAUGAAGUGAAAGAGAAGAAAAGUGUUGGUGUUUCCUCUGAUUAAGGAGAAAUGUAGAGCCUCUCCUCACUAAUGCGACUCUUUAAAAAUCCCAUGUAGUAGUAAUCUCUUGGGAGAGGCUAAGAAAGAAGAGAUCUCGAUCCCCCCCUUCUCUGAUCUCACAAGUUUUUCACAAUCGAUAUGUAAGCAUCUCAAAUCAUAUUUAGGUUUCGUUUGGUAUCGCAGUUGUUUUUUCAAUUUUUUCAAAAAAAAUUACAGGUAAAAUUGUGUUGACCAUUUUCAUUUUACUACUGUGAAACAGCUGUUAUGCUUUAAAAGUUUAAGCUUGUCGAGAACGGUGUUUAUAUAUUUUUUAUAUUUGACACCCCGUCAUGUUUGGGCUCCAGACUUUUUACAAGAUUCAUGAUAACGUGAACUUGAAUUAAAAUAGAGGAAAUUAAUAAUGUUAGGGGCAUAGCAUAACUCGAACUCAUAAACUCUUGCUCCGAUACCAUGCGAAACAACUGAUAUUUUUUUUAUAUUUAACAAUCAUCCAAUUUUUCAAUUUAUUUGAUUUGAAUCAGUCGACGACAAUACUCUGACAUUAAUAUCUGAAUGCGUAGUUAGUAUAUUGCAUGCAAUUAUCGUAACUGUAGGAAUUGAAUUAUAGUUUUAAGUUGUCUCCACUUGAUUUAUUUAUUCAUGCAUUAUCCUUUUUUAUUUUUAAUGUUUGUAGGCUAGUAGCAAUUUCUUGUAAAUUUUGUUCUAUUUGAUUUUCUUUUCUUUUUUCUUCCCUGUUAAAUUUUGUAGUUGAUAGAUGGCCGUCCCGGAAGUCGACAAAGUCAUGCUUCGGCAACUUGAGUUGAUGGGAUUUCCGACGGCCCGCGCGACCAGGGCACUUCAUUCUUCUGGUAAUCUGUCCUGCUGUUCUUUCUCUGUUUAGCUUACUCUUCUUAUUGCUGCUUGUGAUCAUACACAGUACACUGCAGGAUUCAAUUUUGAUUCUUAACUACUUUGUGUGCACCCUUAGAAAGCUGUUUUUCUUGGUUCUUCAGAAAGUAGAAAUUUAUCUGUGAAAUCUCAAUGAAGCGGAAGUAUUAAGCAAACUGUUACUUACACCAGCUGCAAAAGAUAGAACUCAUGUUAUAGCUUGAAAUUGCAGAUACUUAAGGAAGGUUUGUAGAGAAAUGAAGAUCUGCGAUUUUGUUCUUGUUUUACUGUAAGGACCUACAUUUUACAAAACUCAAGGGAUAAAGUGUAAUCGUCGGUUUAUUUCUUGUCGCCUUAUUAUGUUCCUCUUACUUGCUGCUAUUGUUUUUUCUCUUCCGUUAUUUGUCUUGCAAUAAAAGAAUGCUUGUGCAGACGCUACCUUUGUGCGUUACCAAUCAGAUUAUCUUCAUUCGUGGUGCUAUUUCAGGCAAUUGUAGUAUUGAGGCUGCCGUAAAUUGGGUUAUUGAGCAUGAAAAUGAUCCGGAUAUCGAUCAGAUUCCGCUGGUAAUAACAUUAUUAUUAUGAAUUCUCUGCGCUAAGUUUGGAUCUCUAAUUUUGUAUGACAAAAUUGAGCUCUCCUACUGCACAUCUAUACUGAACACUACUGCUCUGCAUAAUCCAUCCUUUUAUAUCAUUGACCAUAUUAUAGAUAAAUAUGUUAGAAAUCGUCGAAUACUUAUUAAUACCCCAUUCAUUGUUCAGGUACACCAGGUUUAGACUGAAUUAGUAUGGUUUAAGUGAAACCAACAAAUUUUAUGCUACCCCAUAUUAAGCGAUACAAAUUGAAAGAAUGUAUUAUUAUAGAUCAGCUAUACAUUCAUAACAGGUAUGAAUAGUUUUAACUUUUAAUUGGGUCGCUAGGGAGUGUUAUGUGUUCCCACUAGGGAUUUUUCACUUUUUUUUUUUUGGAGAAAACCCACUAAGAAAAUCUUAGUUGAUUUCGCUAUUUUUUUGGUGCUAGGUGCCUAAGGAAAUCAAGAUUGAAAGUGGAAAUUCGUUAUUGAUUUCAGAGGAAGUGAAGCUUAAGGCGCAUAAGCUACGGUCUAUCCUUUUCCAUCAUUUUGUAUUUGUUAUCACACAUAGAGAAAGUGCAUUAACUGCAACAUAGCAUUUUGUUUUUUUUAAUGUACAAGAAGAAACCUGCUAUGAUGGUAUUUUAGGUCUUAUAAGAUGCUUUCAACACCUCGUAGAUUUGAAGAAAGAGAACAUUCUCUUUUUCUGACAAUCUUAAUCAGAUUAGAUCAGUUAAGUUCUGUCCAUGCCAAGAAACUGCGUCUGUAAAAGUCAUAAUAAUGAUUUAUAAACUAUGCUAGGUGGUUUAAUUGCGGAAAAAAUGACCAUUAUGAAAUCAUUCGUACCGCAACCAUUCGCUUGUAGUUGUUUAUUAAUGAAAGAUGCCACCACCUCGCUUCUACCUGUCUUUGUAGAAACCAAGCUUUCAGUUUGUUUGCAGAAGGGAAUAUUACUAAUUUAACAGUACCUCAGCUUCUGAAUCUCCAUAUCAUUUACAGGGAACAAGCUUCUCAGAAGAAAUUAGAUAAAAACAGAUCGGAAAGAGAAAAGGAGAAGGUACUUAAUUUUACUUAUUCUUUCGUCCAAUAUCUUUCUUUUCUGAUAACUAAAUUUGGAAGCAAGAGACAUACAUUUUGUGCUUCUGUAACUCGGCCCUUUCUAUGAAGGAAAUAACACAAUCUGCUGGAAAACUUAUGGAGUCAAAGAGAGUUGAGGAUGAUAGUGAAAGAAAACGGUUCGUAGAUUAUCUUUUAUCUUCUUUUUUUUUUUUUAAUCCUUGUGGAAAGUUGUCUUUGAUCUUAACUAUAUAACAUUACUCAGGUGCUGUUUUGGUGUCUUCUUUUUAGCGCAGAAUGAGGGCAUUGCUAAAAGCUAAAGAGGAGGAGCAGAAAAGAGCAAGAGAGAGAGUUCGACAGCAGUUAGAAGAUGACAAGGUCCCCUUUUUUGGCUUUCCUUCCCUUAGAGUGUGCAUUACCUAAGGAAAUUUCGCAUACAAUUUUCGAAUCAGGCCAAAUGUUGCACCAGUGCUUCUCUAACUCUUUAGGAGGUUUCAAUUUACUGCCCAGUUUUUUCAAGUGUUACAAUUGGCACCUCAUCUUUCGCACAUUGUGUCCAUGUUAAGAUCUGCAUGAGUUCAUCUUGGCGUGCUGUCGGACAAGAAUCUUUUGGCCCAUCAAAUCGGCUCACACUAUUUCACAAUGCAUAUCUGACACACGAAAUGUCAGAAGCACCAAGAGCCUCGUGCUGUGAAUGUAUAAUUCAUGCAGAUAGACAAUUUUGCAGGGCCAAAUAUGCAAAAAUUUCAACCAAAAAGAAAAGUGUAUCUCGCCUUUCAUCAACGAUAUUUAGAAUUAUUUGCACAUAUAGACGUCAUUCGGUUAAUUUGAAUAUAGGCAGAAAGAAAGAGGAAGCUUGGCGUACCAUACGAAGAUUUGGGAGCUUCAAAACCCGCAACACCUCGUGUGGAAGAACAGGUGUAAUCUAAUGUCUCAAAAAAAAAAACAAACAUUUCGAAAACUUUCGUAUUAUGUAAUUCAAUCUAAAAGUUAUUUUUUUGUAAUUUGAUUGCAAUGUGCAGAGACAGUCGCCUAGACAGUUGCCUGCUAAGCGUGUUACAAAGGCCGAACUGAGAGAUUGUCUUCGAAAUUUAAAAAGAAAUUACAAGGUAAAUCUUUGCCAAUAAUACUAACAUUAUUAGAAUCAAGAAGGAAAAAGAACUUGUCAAUUGCUCGAGUUAUCUUAAUUUUUCUUAUACAUUCUUGUCAAUAUUACUUCUUUUUUACCUUAUUAACUUAGAACUAGAAUCUGCUUUGCAUACUGGUUCCCUGCAUUAAUUGUGCUGCUAAAUGCACGAGUAAUCUCUGAACUUUUGACAAAAUUGCAAUUUGAACUCGAAUUUUCCUAAUUCUUGGCAUGUUUAAUCCCUAUAUUUGAAGAGAUCACAAAAAUUCGUCGAGACUACAUGGUCACACCCACUUUUUCUUUACUCUUUUCAAUUGAAUAUUAUCGUAGAUAUUUUUGCAUGGCAUUUCGUACCGUGACUACUAUCUACGUUAUCAGGACGACAAUGCUAGAGUCAAGAGAGCCUUCGAAACGCUUCUCAAAAUCAUCGGAAACAUUGUGAAUUCUCCCGAUGAGGAGAAGUUCAGAAGACUUCGACUGAGCAAUCCGAAGUUUCACGUGAGCUUUCCGAAUCAGAAUUAUCUGAACCUGCUGCUUGUUUCAUGUUUUCUGAUUGCUGUUCUUUUCUGCUCUGAAAAGGAAAGAGUUGGGUGUUUGAAAGGAGGUGUAGAGUUUCUCGAGCUAUGCGGCUUCGAAUGGAUCGACGGCGACAGAUACUUGUUUCUGCCGAGGGCGAAAGUCGACAUGGAAGCUCUAAGAUCUGCAGGAUUGGAGCUUCAUUCAGCUUUAACCAAUCCAUUCUUUGGACUUCUGUCAGUGGAUGGUUACUAAUUCAUCUGCAGAUCAACUACUCUCCACCUCUGAAGUUUCUCAUGAAUAUGGCUUUCCCUGCAUGAGUAAAUGUAACACAAUUACAUCCACAAAUGCAACUCUAAUGUAUCUAACUUUUAGCAACUCAAACUUAUUAUUAGUUGUUUGCUUAAAUGUUGGUGCCUAAUAUGAGUAGAGAUACUAUGCUAUCGGAAGUAUAGAGGAUCUGACACUUUCGACUUUUUAACCCUUAAAUCAGUCCCUUUAAUCAUUUCUAAUAUUUGGAUUAAUACUAUUACCUUGUAGGGACUAUUCAACCUUAGGAGUACUAUUCAACACUAGGUGGGACCGCAAUCAUUCCAACCGUACAAUUCUUGAUCCAAAAAUCAAAAAAUAGGAAGCAUCAAAUCCACUAUGCUUUUGAUAGUAUAGUAGCUCUGCGCGCUUAAUAUUGCUCUUAUACUUCUCUAGUCACAAUUUAAUUAGAAUUAUGAAUAGGUAUCAUGUUUUGUAAUUAUAAAUCCGUAGCGCAAAGGCCUCUGUACUAUUAAGUUGUUUUCAAUAAUGCGGCUUCCAAAAUUAACAAUCGAUUUCGUUAGAUUCUGUCUGCACUAUUGAAAGUAUUUGGAAACAAAAUUUUAUUAUCAAAUGGUCUAAAAAUUGACAAUUUGAAUUGUCGAUGUGAUGCGUUUGUGAACUAAAGGGUAUAAAAUAAUCCAAAUAUGAUGAAAUUUUUAUAGAAUUUUUUUUCACUAUUUAAAGUAAGUUGAAAGGUACCAACCUUAAAUUCAAAUCUUUUAUCAUUAUUUUUUAUGAGAUUUUUAUUUUUAACCGUUUAUUUUUAGAUCACUUGUUUGAUAGGUAAAUGAUAUCGAAAAAUUACGAAAUUUAGUUUUCAAAUAUUUUCAAUAGUGUAGAUCAAGUCUGACGAAACCAAUCGUCGAUUUAAAAGCCGCAUCAUUGAAAACAACUUGAUAGCACGAAAGCCUCUCUGCCACCAAUAGUAAACAACUGGACUCUUAUAAUAUCUGCGCGGACAAAAUAAUAUUUUUAAAUCAGAUCAUUUUCACAUUUUCAUAAAAUUAUUAUAAUAUUUAAACAUGUGUAUAUAUAGAACACCAUGUAUUUAUAAGCAAUUUGUUUAGUUUUGUAUAUUUGAUUUAACUGGUUUCAAACUAUUCUUUAAAAUUGUGAAUUAAGACCAAGAUAAUAUUAUUUAUGUCAGAUUAAAAAGUUUACAGGGAUACAAUCAUAUACAGCAAAAAGCUUUUCGUUUUAAUUAUUUUACUUUAAAAAAGUAUAUAUUUUUAAUGAUAAGUCAUAACCAGAUUUAAAAGUGUGGAACUAAAGUGAUAUUUAAUAAAACUUGAGGACUAAAUUUGCAAUUAACAAAGCUUUCCUUGUGUACAAAGUAAUUAUUAUUAAUUAAUAACAAACCCAACACGUGAUACACUCGGCCCGUGCUAACGUGCGCGGGGAUAAGGACGAAUCUCGAAUAUCGCGCCGCUAAAAUGCGCCGUCCGUUUUUUUUUUUUUUUUGAAAUUCAAUUCGUACUUUUCGAAACCCUGCGUGCGGAGUACGCACCGCCCGCGACAACGCUGUAUACGCACCCCACCCAUACUUCUACUAUGCGGACGAUCCGGAUGAAUCCAUCUUAACCGUUCGUUUCGGAGCCGUUCGGAUCACCAACGUCCGCUCCACAUCCCACAAAUUCCGAUCGGUGAAAAUAUAUGAAAAGCCCCUCACCUAUAGAGUAUUCUAAACUUAGCCCCCAAACUCUUUUUUUUUUAAAAAAUUAAUUCGCGUUAAAAUGUUUGUGCAAUUUAAGAACUUAUCAAUUUUUAGCCAAUGGGGAUGUUUAUUUUAAAAUCUGAUAGAUAAUGAAAUUUGUUAAUUUCGGUACAAAAUUUCUGGAGUAAUUCGGGGACCGUUUUCCAAAACGAAUGUUGUUGAGGGGCUCUGUGCAUAUUUCACCCCCCCAAAUUCUCGCAUAAAAAGUUUCGUGCGGAAAUUUUCCUGCGGGCCCCACCGGGGCGGACUUGAAAAAGUUAUUAAAUCCGACUCUGAAACUCGCAGUAUAAAAGGAGGCGGGAAGUUGCCGGUUCGACUCGCUCCGUCUUUUCGCUUUCCCUUCGUUUUAAUUAAUUAUUAUUUAAAUUAUUAAUUAUAUAAUUAUUAAGCGAAAUCGAGUUUUUAGGUUUUUUUUUGGAGAAAAUUUCGGGGAAGUAAGAAACCCUAGACGGGUGGGGAAUUCUAGGGUUAGGGUUUGUGCGAUUUGAAGAUGUCGGGAGCGGGACAGGACGAGGACAAGAAGCCCGCGGAUCAAUCCGCGCACAUCAAUCUCAAGGUCAAAGGGCAGGUAAGGAGUUUUCCUGUUUUAUUCGAUUAUUUUGGUAAUUUUUUGAAGUUAUUAUGAUGUGAUCAUGAAAGAUACUAGUGAGAUUUUGUUGUUGAUGACACUCUUUACUCGAUUCUAUUUGUAAUUUAGGUUCUAGGGUUCUCUAUCCUAUGAUUGUGUUGAUAAUUGGGUGAAGAUUGUAAAUUCCCCAAUUAUAGUCUAUUUUGGAUACUGCUCAACAUUUAAUUUGUUUUUAUUUGCAUUAUUUUGAUCAGUGGAAUUGUAAAUUUUGUUGAGAAUUAAUUUGCAUUAUUUUAAUUUGCGAUUUGUGGUUUGUUGGCAACAAAAUUCACACUUUUUUUGCCCGGAGAAUGAAUAGAGUCAUGUAAAGUUGACAGAAUUGUUGUUGAUUAAUCGAACGGUAUCCCAAUUCAAAUAUGUGAAAAUAAUUCGAACCCAAACAAAUGAAGGAGAGUGAGGGAUUUGGCCUUGGGGCUUCCAUCUAGGAAGCGAAUCCGAAUAGACACUGCACAUUUUUGAAGUAUUGGUUUAGGAAGUAUGCCGAAAUUAGAUAACUCCGCACUUUUGAACUCUCAGUGUUUUGCAGUUGCUUCUUUAGUUUUGUAUCCUCUCCCGAGUUUAGCAACCAAAUUUUCUCUCAUUACUACUAUCCUACUCGCUCCCUCUCUUUCUUUUCCUCUCUUACUGCCUCGCUGACAUUCUCUUUCCUAUCUCUUUCCUGUUUCCAACUUGAGAUCUCUUGCACGACUUUAAUCUUGCGUCACUAGCCUGUAUACAUCUAUAGCAUUAGAUAUUUGCGAUACAAUAGUAUUUUCGGCAUAUUCCAUUCCUGAUAGUAUUUGCGACUUAUCCUGAAAAUAUUACAGUAUUACCGGCCGGCAUGUUCUGAAAAUACUUAUUAAUGUUAUCAGUGAACCAUAUUUCAAUUUUGCACAGUUGAAAUCCACUUAUAAUCUUCACAUAGCAUCCACUUAUAAUCUUAUGCAUUGCUCAAAUGUGCGACUCUUUAUGAGGUCUUUCUUCCCUUAUGCUCCAAUCCAUCCUUUUGCUCCGUCCUCUCUUUGUUUAUGCAAGUUAUUAAAAUUGUGGAAUGAUGGACAGCAGGGAACAAUGUGACAUUUACAAGAUUCAUUAUCUACUAUGGCCUUGUUAUAUCAACUCGAAAAUACACAAAUUUUCAUCUAAAACUUGUAAAUGUUCUGUUGGCAUAAAUUUUAGUAGGUGCAUAAUGUGGUAUUCAUUCUUUCUUCUUUUCCUUUUUUUUUUUUUUGCGUUUUGCUUUUUGCUAUUUUCUUUUAUUGGACUUGUUCAAAAUGGGUGACUAGGUAGUUCUUGGAUACUUACCAUUCACCAGUACUGUUUUUUCUUCUUUUGUUCUUUUGUUGAUCAUGAUACAUGUAAGUUAGCAGUUGCUUGAUUGUUUGUGCGGGCGACUUUGUGAAUUUUGUUUUUGUUGCUAUUUUGCCAUUUGUGGAGGCGUUAAGAUUGAUUGAAUUUCUUUCAAAGCAGGCCUUUUUUUUGGUUGGGUGAAGAUUUGAGAUUGGCUGAAAAGUCUUAUUGCGAAGUGAACUAGCUUGUUGGAAAGCAGGUUCAUUUGAUUAAUGUUAUGUCCGUUUUAACAGGCUCUUUUUUGCAAUUCACUAGGCAAAAUUUUGGUUGUUAUCGCAACCAAAGGAGCCAAUGAGAACUGCUUAGUCAAUGGUUAUUGAUUGUUAUAAUUUGUUCUUAAUUAUCUUUUCUUAGCUAGUGUUUGCCCAAACCCAACCCAACCCAACCCAAACACUAUUUUUGGGGGGUGGGAUUAGCUAAACCCACCCCUCUAUUCCGGGGGUGGGGUUAGCUAACCCCACCUCUAUUUAAUUUUAAAAUUUAAAUUUUAAAAUUUAUAAUUUGUAAUGUUAAAAUUAAUAUUUAUAUUUUUAAAUUUUAAAUUAUACAUUUUAAAUUUUAAAUUUUAUAUUAUUUUUAAUCAUUUAAAUUUAAAUUCGACAUUUUAUAUUUGUAACUUAAGAUUUGAUUUAAAAUUUAAAAUGUAAAAUUUAAAUUGUUAUUUUUAAUUAUUUAAAUUUUAAAUUUGACAUUUUAUAUUUGUAAUUUUAUAUUUGUUAGAUUUGGUUUAAAAUUUUAAAUUUUUAAAUUUGAGAUUUAAAAAUAUAUAGAUUUAAAUUUUGAAUUUUUUAAUUGUAAAAGUUAUCUAUUUAAAUUUUAAAUUUUAAAUAUAAAGUAAAAAAAUUUUAAUUCAAAUAUAAUAAUUAGGGCAAAAUUAUUUUUUCUAUUUAUAACUACUCACUAUUCUUCUUAUUUCAUCUUAUUUGUUCAAACGCUAUUUUUCUUAAUUCCGGGAACAACUCAAUUAUCAUCCAAACGCAAAAUUGGUCUAUUUCAGGCUUAAUCCUGAACUUAACCCUAUCUUUGAAAUAACUAGUUCUUACUUAAUCCCGAACCAAACAAAGCUUUAGUGCUAACAAAUGAUGCUAAUCCAUUAUUUCCUUUAGGUAUAGUGUAUAUAUAUAUAUGUACCUUGAACGGUGCAUUUUAUUUCGUUGUGGAUAUCCUUUCAGGACAACUUUUUGGUUAUUCAGUUUGAUUAUUAUGAUACUGGUUUGGAACUUUUUUUGUAGUUUUACUUGUCUGUUACUCUCUCCUCUGAAAUGUUGCUACAUACAAUAUUUUCCCCCCUUUCUUGGAUCCACAGGAUGGGAAUGAAGUGUUUUUUAGGAUCAAGCGGAGCACUCAGCUGAGGAAGCUUAUGAACGCCUACUGCGACCGCCAGUCUGUGGACUUCAAUUCCAUUGCCUUCCUCUUUGAUGGACGCAGGCUGCGAGGCGAGCAGACCCCAGACGAAGUACUAUUUUCUCUCUCUCCAACCAUAUUACUUUUUAACUUUUUUGAAAUUAAUCCCCUCAUUCCUUUUCUAAUAAUUUAAGAAAAUGUCUUGUUUGUUUCAGUUGGAGAUGGAAGAUGGUGAUGAGAUCGAUGCUAUGCUCCACCAGACUGGUGGAACUUCGGCGAGUGCUUAGGAGUUUACUUAGCUUCCGUCUUUCCUAUGAAAUAGCAAGAAUAUUGUAGAGAGGUAGCAAACUAUAAUGGAUGGUUGGAUCUGGACAAGUUUGUUUGAUGAUUUAGGUUCUUAAUUGUGUAUGGCUUUUAAUACCGUGCCAGAUAUUUCUGAGGUUUAUUGUGCCUCUUGCAAGAUUGUGAAUUGUUUGAUGAAUUUACUUUGGUAAUCAUCCAUCAUCACCUUCGUUAGUUUGAAGAAAGAUUAGUUCUUCACCUACUCCAUGUAGGUACCUUCUCAUAUCUGGUGAUAUGCUAGCAUGUACUUUGGCAGAUCAAUCUUUGUUUGACAAAUUUAAGUUGUCGGCGCAUCAGCAGCGUUUUAGAGCAAUCUUUUCCUAGUCUUGCAGAAGGAUAGUAUUUCUUUUUACCGAGUUUUAAAUUCGAAUUGUGCUACAGUGGUGCUUGGCUCUUUGAAUGUGAUUUCGCACAACGGAGUUGUGAAGUUGGUUGGAGAUCCUCUCAACUAUUGGGCCUUUUGGUAGUAGCAGUUGUGACUCGUCUGUAACAUGAUAAUAGCGUAUUUUCUUGUAUAGACUUAAAAACUUUUGGAUAAAUUGAAAUUGUCAUUUGUGUGUGUAACAUGCAAGAGCAUUUGCAUGUAUCGACUUAAAACUUUUGGGCUCGUUCAAGUCGCUUAGCAGUAAAGUGCAACUUUUUAUGGUAAGGGAUUGUUUGGAUUUUUGUUUUUUUCAACAUUUUAUUUUUAAUGCAAUACAUAGGUCUACUGAUAACAAAUUGUAACAUCUCCACCGGGACACCGACCGGCCGUAGAGCAAGUAGCAAAGGGGUUGGUGGUUGGUAUUCGAGACCCAAGUUUGAAUAUUAGUUGAUUUAUAUUUUCAGCUAAGUUUAUUUCUAAAUAAAAUAAACGAAGCGGGUAGCGUGCUACCUAUCUCUCUCUCUCAAAAAAAAAAAAAAAACUCCACCUGGAUGCCCAAAUUAACCGGAGGCGACAAUGCAUUAAUGGGAAAAAGUAACUAGAUUUUGAGAUACACAAAAUAAAAUUUUCAUGUUCAAUUUGUAAUAUAAUCAGGCGAGACAACUUAUAACCAAAAUAAAAUGACAAAAUUGGUGCAAUUAAAGAAUUGGUGUGAUUCAUCUACUAUACGGUCCUUAUGGGGGCUAAUUUUUUAAAUUUUUUUUUAAAAAAUUAUUAGCCUUUGGUAAAAUAAAAUUGAAACGUGACAGUGAAUGGGAGUUCAUGAACGAGGGAUCUCGACUACUUACAUAAAAUAGAUCUUCAGGUGCAUCUUUUUAUGAAUAACAUAUUUGCCCACGUGACUAUACACACCGUUUUCUCUGACUCCCAUAAAGUUAAUACCAAACCCAUCCAUUGCCAGCUCAGCACGUUGACUUUCUUGCUCAAUCCACCCGCGCAACCCCCCCCUUAAAAACAGCCCAACGUAGUUUUCAAUUUUGUUCUCCAACGUAGUGUUCCCAUCGUUGACCCCAAAAAAAGUAGCCGUUAAUAGUUGAUCUUAAAAGAUGGCGGGAACGGGAACCCCACGUAACGGCCGUGGUCCCUUCCUUUCCCCUCCUCCUCCUCCCCCUCCUCCCCACUAUAAAUCCCCACCCCCUCUCUCUCUCUCAACCCCAAUACCAUACAAUGCGGAGUCGCGCCACACAUCCUCUAUCAUCCAUGGCGGCGGCGGUGGCCGCCGUGAUGUCUCUGCUGGUUCUCGGUGCGGCCGUUCCGACGACCUUGGACGGGCCUUUUACCCCGGCAACUGCGCCGCUCAACGACAGGGUCUUCCGCGGACACGCUGUAGACUUGCCGGACUCCGACCCACGAGUCCAGAGGAGCGUGAGGGGAUGGGAGCCGGAGCAGGUCUCGGUGUCGCUCUCGGCCGCCGCCGACUCCGUGUGGAUCUCCUGGAUCACAGGUCUUCUGCUUCCUUUGUUCGUUUUCGCGUACUCAGUCGCCCGUAAACCGUAUGUGUUUAUGUCUGUGUGAAAUUCUGCUCAAAAAAGGGUCUUUUUUGAGUUUGAUGAAUUGGACCCUUGAUUUGUCCGACUCCCUCUUACGUCGGAGCUCGCUCGAGAAUUUCGAUAGGUCCAAGAUGCGACCUUUGAAUUGAUUGGGCAGAGGUUGCUGUUUUGAUCAUGAUGGGUCUCGUGAGAUUUGGAAUCAGGACGUUCUGUUCGGAUGAGAUUUCAACUCAAAAGAAGCAUUUUUUUUAUUCAUCGAAGGCUUCUUCCUUUGUCCUGAUUGUAGGGGAAUUUCAAAUCGGGGAGAAUGUUGAGCUGUUGGAUCCUAAGACCGUCGCGAGCAUUGUUCGCUAUGGCUACUCUGAGAAUUCGUUAACUCGCAAAGCUACUGGGCAUUCACUUGUUUACAACCAACUUUAUCCCUUCGAAGGCCUCCAAAAUUACACCUCUGGAAUCAUCCAUCAUGUUCGCCUCAAAGGUAAUUUUACGGAUUUAUUCUCUGUGAACCUCUUCAGAGAGUUAUUUAAGAUUUUGUUUUACAGGUAUUUCUCUUUUCCUUUGUGUUACGGUGUUGCUUAAGACAAAUGAAAAAGGCAAUCCAAAUUGUUCUCAAAACUAUCAAAUUACAUAGGCUAACGCACACGAAAUUCUCCUAUAAUUUGCCCUAUUCUCAUACAGAACAUGUUGUUCUCAGCCUUCUUUUAAUUUGUUAUAUAUAUCUCAUUUCCGAUACAAUCUUUUCUCAUGUUACGGCACGCAUUUUUCCAAUACACAUGUACUUUCUUUCGAGUAAAAUGACUAGCACGCAUAAUAUGUAAUAUCCCGCAAACACAUUAAAUAUAUGAUCUCGCAGAAUCCUUCGUCAGCUCUGGCGAUUUCUUUUGAUUCUUGAUAUCCAUAAACAAUGUGUUAUGGUUAUUUCCAACCUCUCUUUGCGUAUCUUUCACUUACUCCUACUUGUGCUUCUUUUCAGGAUUGAAACCAGAGACGCAGUAUUACUACCAGUGUGGGGAUCCUUCUCUACCAGCCAUGAGCGACGUCCAUGCUUUCCGAACCAUGCCUGCUUCGGGACCUCGAAGCUACCCUAAACGGAUAGCCGUGGUCGGCGAUUUGGGCCUCACAUACAAUACCACUUCCACGGUGGACCACAUGAUAAGCAACCAACCUGAUCUAAUAGUGUUAGUAGGCGACGUCAGCUAUGCAAACUUGUAUCUCACGAACGGAACUGGCUCGGAUUGCUAUUCCUGCUCAUUCCCGCAUACACCGAUACACGAGACGUAUCAGCCACGUUGGGACUACUGGGGAAGGUGAAUAUAUCUCCAGCGUUUAAUUUUACGCGCUGUUUCUUCAAUUUGCUUUGAUCCAACUGAAUUGCAAUCAUUUUUAAGGUAUAUGGAGCCAGUUAUCUCGAGAAUACCGAUGAUGGUGAUUGAAGGAAACCAUGAGAUAGAACAACAGAUUGAUAACAGGACAUUUGUGUCUUACGAUGCUAGAUUUGCAUUCCCCUCCAGAGAGAGCAGAUCAUUCUCCUCAUUCUAUUACUCUUUUAACACUGGAGGAAUACAUUUCAUUAUGCUCGGAGCAUACAUUUCUUAUAACAGAUCAGGUGAAUGCAUCAUAGACUCAUACUGAAUUGCUAUGUCCCUUGAAUGUCUUUUCUUUCUCGGGGAUCCAAAGAGGAAACCCAGAAAAAUAAACUGCAGUUGCUGUAAACGCAAACAAAAAUGGCAGCUUGACUAAUUCUGAGAACAAUUUUACAACUUACCUUCUCACGCGCAUGGUUGAGAUUGGAUGAAGCAUGUUGCGUGCGUCAAACAGUUAGGGAUUCAAUCAAUCAAAUUGUAGAUUUGGGGAAUGGCAUAACAUAUAAUCAUCUCACGCGUCUUGUAAAUUCUGAAACUGCAAAACAGGAACCAAUCUUUCAUUGGUUUGUACCGUCACAAUGCUACAAAUAUUAUGAUCAAAGAUUUACGCAAAUCUUGGUUUGUAAACUAUCAUGACUAAUCGUCAAAUGUUUUAACACUUUGUCUCAUUUCAGGGCAGCAGUACAAGUGGUUGGAGAAAGAUCUAGCGAAGGUAGAUAGAACAGUAACUCCUUGGUUGAUAGCCGUUUGGCAUCCGCCAUGGUACAGCACCUACAAAGCCCACUACAGGGAAGCGGAGUGCAUGAGGGUGGAAAUGGAGGAUCUCCUCUACUCAUACGGUGUCGACGUUGUCUUCAAUGGACAUGUAACUCUACUCUCACAUUUUUUGUGACAAUUUUCGCCUCUGCAAUUACCUUAUUUCUGCAAAAUAUACAAACUCACUUAACUGUAGUUAAGUAGUUUGCAUUAUAAAUUUAGUUAUGGCAACAAUACCUGCUGUAGGUUAUCGAUAUUUCCCUUUAUAUAUAUGCAGGUUCACGCUUAUGAACGGUCGAACCGUGUCUACAACUACAAAUUGGACCCCUGCGGUCCAGUUUACAUCACAGUCGGGGAUGGCGGCAACCGGGAGAAGAUGGCGAUCAACCACGCAGAUGACCCUGACAACUGCCCUGACCCAUCAACAACACCUGACGAGUACAUGGGCGGCUUCUGCGCGUUCAACUUCACGUCGGGCCCAGCUGCAGGCAAGUUCUGCUGGGACCGCCAGCCCGAGUACAGCGCUUAUCGCGAGAGUAGCUUUGGCCACGGGAUCGUAGAGGUACCAGGCCUAGUUUACAACUGUUUUUGCAUUUCAAAGCAUUUAAAUCAACGAGAUAAUGCGUUAAAUUGCUGCGAUAUUUGUAGGUGAAGAAUGAGACUCAUGCUUUGUGGACAUGGCAUCGGAACCAAGAUCUAUACGGCGAUGCAGGAGAUGAGAUUUAUAUAGUCAGGGAGCCUGAGAAGUGCCCCCAUUAACCGAAAAGAUUUGUUUGAUUAGCGAUCUAGGCGUUCGAAUGAAGCUUUUGUUAAAGCUGGAAAUUCAGAUUGAAGAAUAAUGUAAGCUUACAGGGAUUGUGAUAAACAGAAGUAAAUAAUUGAAUGUAUGAUGAAAUAAUCAGAUCAAUAGUGUUUCUUUCCUGUGCAUGAUUGAUUGAUCUUUUUUGAGUAAUUUAUGAGGCUUAAUCCUUUUGUUUAGCAAGGAAUAUGGAGAGUUUGAGAAACCAAAAGAGAAAAGUUUGAAACUAGUUUGGAGUGUGUUAUGAAAACAAAAUUUUGAAAACUACUUGAAAUCUGCAAAACUGCAAAUCUGCAAAAUUUUGUCACCUUUUGAUCAUUCGGUUAGUGUUGUCAAAAAAUCAUGAAAUUUGAUUUUUAGAUAUUUUAGAUAGUUUAAAUCAUAUUUAACAGUGCCAAUCGUCAAUUUGUAAGCUCUAUUAUCAAAAACAAAUUGAUAGUAAAUCCAGCCGUUUGUUCCUGAUAGUAGCCCAAUCAAGCUCUCCCUCUCUAGAUAGAUAGAAUUAGGCUAGAAUAUUAUUAAUAGCACCAAGUCGUUAGUACUAGUAACUAUUCAGCACUUUGAUGAAACAAUGUAUAAUUAGAAUGAUAGUGGUCCUCUAGGGUUGAGUGGGUGGUUAAUUGAUAAAUUUCAAAUCUAAUAUGUGUGGAAAUAAAUUUUUUACAUAAAUGUGAUGGUCUAUAUUACAUAAGGUAUUUAACACGUGAGAAUGUUAUUUGUAAAUUCAAAAAAUAAGUGUGAAUUUUAUAUCCGUCCAGUGUCCAUCCGAAGAGGAAUUCUACACUAUCACAUUUACACCACGUCUUCAAUAAUAAGCCAAUCAUAUUUCUUCUUUUCAAACAAAAGUAUAAUAAAAUUAUAUUUUUAUAAUCAUGAUGGGAUAUAUAUUUCUAAAAGGAGAUAUUUGAUUAGCUUGUUACGUCACGUCACCGAUAUAUCAGUGUAUUCUAGAUUUUUCCCACUGAAGACUAAUUUAAACUUACUUUUUAAACGUAUAAAUAACAUUAUUUUUAUGACAUAAUAAUACUUUAACAUGUGAGCACAUUACUAAAUUUGACAAAAAAAGCUAGUGGUUUUUGGUUCCAAGUUGCAACUAAGGGGGUCGUUUCCAAAUUAGCCAUAGUUCCGGUACCUCCAUACAAUUUCACUCUUUUUUUCUAUUUUUUCUACCGCUCUUUUCACUUCCCCCAACAUUUCCUUAUCCUCUCCGAGAGAGAGAGAGAGGAGAGAGAGAGAGAGUAAAAAAAAAAACUCUUUUUCUUUCCGCCGCCGACUCCUCCUCCCUCUCCGACUUUCGAAGUCGGCGACGGAUUCGCGAUCAGAUGCAUUCGCCGGCCUUCGCUCUGCCGAAUUUCAGCUCAAAAAUGGCUUCCUCUUCUUCUUCUUCUACCAGCCGUUGGAACCCCGUGAUCAAACCGCAGCCGUCCGAUGUAAGCGGCUUCUUUCUAGCUUUUUCCCCUCUUUUUUCUUCUUUUUCUUUUUGAAUGAUUUACAUAUCAAUGUAAUGUAACUUGGACUCUGUUCUAUUAAGUAAUAAGUGUUCAGGAUCUAUUUUUGAAAUGCAAUGAAGGCCCCUUUUUACGAAUCAGAAUUCGAAUUUCGAAAUUCAAAUGGCCUCUCAAUGGUGAGUUUAUAUUCAUUCUCGGAAUCUUACGUGAUACUGUUAUUCGAUAACUUAAGCUUUUAGAUACAGACGAACAAUUAUUUGACAUAGUAUUAGAACGAGCAGAAAAACGAAUUAGAAUCUGAUGUGACAUAAAGUGAAGUAUUGAACGUAAAACAUGAAAAUGCUGUUGUCUGAUAGUUUAAGCUUCUAGUGAUAAACGACUGUUCAAAACUAUUUCCCUUUCGUUCCCAUUUCCCAGUUUCUUUGCCGCCGUCUGAACUGUUUUCUGGCAAUUCUGUCAGUACCAGAAUCUCAGAAAACUGGCUCAGAAAAAGUGGCAGCGGAGCCGUUGCUUUGGUGGUUACUGGAACGAAAGUCGGUCGGUGCAACGCAGAAGGAAACGCGGCGCUUUCGGUGUAAGUUCUUUUACCGUCAGACUGCUCCUGCCGGAAUUCUCUUUAGACGCGCGGAGUUAUGGAUAAUUUAAGAGAUUAUAUGAAAGAUACAUCUGAACAUGAAAAUAUUACACUGCAUAUAAUGCAGGCCAAUCUAAAUGUGCUCUAUGACAUCAUCGGCCUACGAACAUCAAAACUAGGUUUAGUAGUGAAAUUGGUCGAUCAUAAGUGAUUAAUUACGCGAGAAAUUUAAGGUAUGGAGAAAACAGCGGGACAGCGAAACUUGUUUUCUUUAGUUUCCUCAGCAAUAAUCGUUAGAAUCAUCGGACGGCAAGCUGAUACAGAGAUCGCUACAAUCUUAUGCAGCUUGUUGUUCCUACUUGCCUCAGGAAGCGCCAAUCGUCAGCGCUACAAGAGUGCAAUGUGCAACUUCUUCAUCGAGCAUGCCUACGAUCUCAAAUGCUGAGAUGCCACUCGCAGAUUCUCUAACUGCUGUGAAAGGAAGCAGCGCCCCCCUCGUUCAAGCGCUAAAGUCGGCCGCCCAACAAGCUGUCUCCUGCUUUCACUUUCCUGGACACAACAGAGGCAAAGCUGCCCCGUCCUCAAUGUCGAGCCUCACUGGUUUGGGAACAUUCGUACACGACUUGCCCGAACUUCCUGAGCUCGACGACCUCUUCUCCCCAAGUGGUGCGAUUUUAGAUGCUCAGAGAAAGGCGUCCGAACUGUUUGGCUCGUCUAGAACUUGGUUUCUUGUUAAUGGAACGACGUGCGGGAUCCAGGCUUCGAUAAUGGCAUCUUGCUCCCCAGGCAAAACACUUAUCCUACCUCGGAAUUCUCAUAUUUCGGCUAUAUCGGGUCUGGUUUUAUCCGGUGCUGUACCAAAGUAUGUAAUGCCGGAGUAUAAUCCCGAAUGGGAUAUUCCUGGUGCGGUAACCCCAUUACAAGUAGAGAGAGCGAUGAAGGAACUGGAGAGAGACGGAAAGACGGCAGCUGCAGUCUUACUAAUAUCGCCAACUUACCACGGCAUAUGCAGCAAUGUGGAAGAGAUCUCUAAGUUGUGCCACUCCCGUGGAAUUCCCCUUAUAGUCGAUGAAGCUCACGGCGCCCAUUUCGGGUUUCACCUCGGGUUCCCAAGAACUGCAUUGGAACAAGGUGCGGAUUUGGCGGUCCAAUCAACGCAUAAAGUUCUAUCCUCACUGACGCAGUCGUCGAUGCUUCAUUCGAAAGGAGAGCUUGUGGACGCGGAUAGGGUGAGCAGAUGCCUUCAAAUGCUUCAGAGCUCCAGCCCUAGCUAUCUCCUCCUCGCCUCUUUAGAUGCUGCGAGAGCUCAGCUGAGUGAUAACCCAGAAAUUUUCGGGAGAGCCCUCGAUAUGUCGGCAGAAGCUAAGAAGCAUCUCAGUCUAAUUCCGGGUAUAUCUGUAUUGGGUUUAUCAAGCUUCGACUCUGCUUUUCCCGCCAUUGAUCCGUUGCGUAUCACUGUCGGCUUUUCACGACUAAAUAUAUCAGGAUACGUGGCCGAUGAGAUAGUAUCCAGCGAACAUCACAUAGUAUGCGAGCUCGUCGGGACUCGAUCGCAAACUUUUGCUGUCAACUUGGGGACUCGAAAGGAGGACAUUCAAAGGCUUGUUUUAUCUAUGAAGCAUUUAUCAUCAGAUUUUUAUCAGGCAAAUGAAGGGAAAACCUCUUUGAAAAGUGGUGUUUGUGCUCCCCUUGGUACUAGCUCUAUGCAGUUGACUCCGAGGGACGCGUUUUUCGCGAAAAAGAGGAAAGUGCUUAUCGGAGAGAGCCUUGGUAAGAUAUGCGGCGAGCUUAUUUGUCCAUAUCCGCCCGGGAUUCCAGUUUUGGUUCCUGGUGAAGUGAUUACUGAGGAUGCACUAUCCUAUCUUUUGGAUGUGAGGAAUAUGGGCGCGGGGAUUAGCGGCGCAGCUGAUGAUAAGCUCUCUUCCAUGCUUGUGUGUGACUUUUAAUGCAGGUUAUUCUUUUGAUGUUUAAUUUUUAACGCGGGAUCGACUCGCAAACAUGCAAAUUAAGGACUAGAAAUAAUAUGGAUGUGUUUGCUUCAAAACAAUGUCAGAACAAAAGGUGAAGGAUUGUGUAAGCAGCAGUUAGUAUAUAUAGCGAAAAAAAAAAAAUGCUUGAACUUGGUUGUAAAAUGGCAGUAAAAUAAAGGCAAUAUGGAGUUCUACUUUGUACUUUAUCCUUUCUCCUAUUCAAUGAAUUGCAGCAGAGAAAUUUAUGCUGUGUGUGUAAUUUGUAUGGCUAUUUAUUUUGAUCUUUAUCUAAUGUUCUUAUUGUAAAGUCCUAAAGAGUACAUAUUAUUUUAAUAGAUUUUUUUUUUUUUUUCAUUUUGGAAAACCUAUAUUUAUAUAAAGAUAAUGAUUACUUACUGAAUAUAUAUUAUCAGUUUUCGUAGCAUUAAAUAAGAUUUGAUCAUACUUAUUAGAGCAGUUUGAUUGAUACUCUAUUUUACACUAUAUAUAAGAUUCAGAAUCAAAUUUAAACAUUAUCAGAAAAGGUUUUGAGUUUGUGAUAAUGCAAUAGUAGAUUAGGUUUGUCGCGGGUUGCUUAAUUAAUUAUUAAUCAAUUAAAAUGAAUAUAAAACACUUUCUAAUCCAAAAAAAAAACUUUAAAACCAAGACUUUGAUGUUGCAGACCGAAUAUUAAUAUUUGUGUAAUUAGAAAGAUGAUAUAUAUCUGGAUCGGGCAUCUUAACAAAAAAAUGUGAUUAUCUCGCGAUAAGCGACAAAGAUUGAUCAGGACAUGGAGACAAGAUGUGCUCGCUAAUCUAAUUUGCACACGAAUUAAUUAAUUGAUUAAUGUCAGAAUAUAAGCAAAUCAUAUAAAGAAGGUUCGGUACUCUGUCAUAUCACAUGAACUGCACAAAAGAAAAUGAACAAAUAUUUUUUUAAAAAAAUUCUUUCUUUUGUGUUAUUUUUUUUAUUAUAAUUAUUCAUCUCUGUAUUUUUUCUCCCUCCUUUUUUUAAUUUUCGUAUUAAUUUAUUCGAUUUCUUUUUUUUUUUUUUUUUUGCUCUUCUUGUAUAUAUACUCUCUUCUACUUAAUUUAAUUGAAGAGUUAUAUAUACUCAAUAGCAUAUUAAAUAUAUAUAGAAAUAUGAACUAUAUUAGCUAUUAUACUGCCAUCAAAAUCAUUAAUAGAAACUUUGUAGCUGGAUUUUUUUUUUUUUGUGUUUAGCAUCCUUAAAAUAUUUUAGUUUACAACAAUCCUACAAGAAUUAUAAAUACAAAAAUGACUUCAUAUUUGUACACAUAAGCGUUACGCAGGAUAAAAAAGAAACUGUGUUUAGAAUAAUAUAUAAAAAGAAUAAGAGAUUUACAUUCUAUUUUUAAAAAUAUAUUAUAUUAUUUAACUAAACACGAUAAAUGAAUCACCGUAUUCAAAAAAUAUUUCGUAUGGCUCAUAUGAUUUUUGCAUCUAUAAUUUUGAUAAACUUAUUUGCAAUUUUUUUUUUGAGAGAGAGAGAACUAAAUACAAAAAAAAAGUUCUUAUAGCUACCUAACACAACUGCAACAAUUAAUGAUCGAUAAACAGCUUAUAAUUACUGAUAAGACAUUAUUGAGAAUGACAAAUGAGUUUUCUUUCUGCGAUAUUGUAGCAUGCAUACGUGCGAAAACAAAAACAAGAAAAAGAGAAAAAAAAAAACACAUACAAAAACCACAAUUUUGACGGUCAACGGAUCGUGGGUUAAUGGACUUGGAUUCUCGACAUAUAUAUAUAGAACCAAAUCCGACCGGUUAAUACUCUUUGAUCGAAUUAAUAAAGUCUCUAUAUUAUGUCAUAUGCCAAACAUAUAUACUACCACAAACACACAAAAGAAUUAUAUAUAAAUAUAUACGAGCUAGGAUGGUAUACUAUUAGUAUAAAUAUAUAGAGUUGAGUUAGAAUACUCUCAAAAGCACCAAGGGAGUAGUGCUUUUGAGUUUUUAACCUUUUGAUGGAGAGACGUAGGGUUGGAAUGAUGGUGGUAGAUAGUGGUAGGUGGAAUAGUGUUUGAUUCAAGAACUAUUAGUAAUCAAGCAGUAGAUCCAAGAAGUAGAAACUUAAAAGUACCAAAGGGCCUAAUGUUUCUAAAAACAUUCUAGCUCAAAUAUAUAUAUAUAUAUAUACUGAAAUUAUAUAUAUGCACCAACAAGUAAACAAUCUUAAAAAGAGCUCCCCAUAUCAAAACAAGCUAUACUACAAGUUCACAUGCAAGUGCAUGCACCCUGCUGUCUCAUUAGUCAUCAACAUGCAUGCACCAAGAGAUAGUUAUAAGCUAUAUACCAAAGCAAUUAAUAACCAACAAGGAAAACCACAAGAAGAAGAAGAAGAAGAAGAAGAAGAAGAAAGAAGCAGUUACACCUCACUAUGGCCAACAAACCCUAGGGGACCAUGGGGUGAGGGGAAGGUAGAGAGAGAGAGUUAUGAGGAGGAGGUAGAAAGAGAAACUCAUGAGGAGGCCUGCUGCUGCUGCUCUUCAUGCUGCUCACACCAUCCAACCCUAUGUGAGCCACAUGCUGCACAUCUGUUGGAAACCCUAUCACCAUCUCCCUCUCUUCCUCCUCCUCAUCACCACCACCACCACCAUCACCAUCUUCUUCAUAGACCACAAACAGCUGGGACAAGCCCAUCUUGAAGCCCCUGAUCAGCUUCUGCAGCCCCGCAGAGAUGCUCGGCUUCGGAAGCGCCAGAAUCCUGACCGCGCUUCUCGGCUUCUGAUCGCCGCCGCCGCUGUUGUGUGGGCUCUCCUCUGCUAAAACCAUUAGAAGUAAUCGUAACAAUAAAGAAGUCAAAGCUACUCUACUACUUACAGGAUAGCUAAAUAAUCAAGUGUCAAACAGCGAGCAGCCUUACAUAUAUAUGCAUAAGAAGAGGUUUUUUUUUUUCUUUACAUGUAUAUAUACAUACUUGAUUGUAGUGGGGGGAUUGGACCUAGUUGAGUAUUCUUCGGCUGGGUGUGGAGGACGGAGACGCUCGAUUGAGAAACGCAACCGACGGAAAAGGGGAGGACGACGAACCGAUCCAUUCUCCGGUCUCUCAUCAUGGCUUCAUGAAUAUUAAUACUGAAGAGUGUGAUGAGAGAGGAAUUUGGUGGUUAUGAGAAUGAAAGAAAUGAAGAGCAGGUGGAUUUGUUAUAUACUGGGUGGUGUUGGCUUUGUUAGCAAGCAUGCAUGAUUUCCACUAUAUGCAUAUGAAAGAACCAAAAGAAGGCUUAUAUACAAAUUAAAGUUUGGUGUGUGUGUGUGUGAGAGAGAGAGAGAGAGAGAGAGUUAUGGAGUGGGUUGGGUUGGGUUGGAUUGGAUUGGUUGGUUUGGUACCAACUCUUUUUCGUUUGAAUGCAAGUCCAAAUUGUAGGCCUAAGAACCCACUAAUAGCUUUAAAUUUUGUGUCCAUUUCUUUUCAGAUGGUUCUACUUUUUUUGUAAUGUGGGCUCUCUCUCUCUCUCUCUCUCUCUCUCUCUCUCUCUCUCUAACUUGUUACCUCCCUUGAAGACCAAGUCAUCAAAAUUAAAGGCCCCUUUCCCUUUGCACUUUUCCUCCUUUUCCCCCUCCAACCACUACUUCCUCUCCUUGGAAAAUUAAAUCAAUCACAGAGUGAGAUGCAAGCAAUUUACAUAACUAUUUAGAAUCUAUUCUAAAUGAAAUAAAUGAAGCGGAUAACGUGCUAUCUAUCUCUCUUAAAAAUAAAAAAAAAUCACUACUGCAUAUAUAUAUAUGGGGCCAUGGAAUCAUUCUUCACCAAUUUGAUACAAGGAUAAUUUGCUUCUAUUAAAAUAUUGAUUGGGUCACUCCAACAUCUUAUUUUUUAAAAAAUUUAUCAAGUUCUUUUUUAUAAAGAAAUAAUGUAAUCCACUAGAUGAAUUAAACAGUUACGAAAUCAUCAAGGUGAUCUCAUGAUCAAAGUAGGUAAGUUUAAUGGCAAAUACUCAGUAGAAUUUACUCCUGAUGCAGAGUCAAAGCGAUAAAUAUUGCUUUCCGUAAACUUUCAUACUUUUACAAACAGACCUUUUAAACUCAUAGUUAUUUUUAAUAACAAUCGAGUAGCCUUUUAUAGGAUAUAUAAUGGUAGGAUAGUUAAAACUUAGUUAUGAUAGUGAUCUACAAAGGUUUUUUUUUAAAAAAAAAAAAUUUGUAGUAACACCAUGUAGAGUAUUCUCCUAUCAACAUAUAUGAUAAUGAUUAAUUGUACCUGAAUCAUUUUCCUUAUAAAGUACACAAGCUUGAGUUCCCAAUAUUAACCUCCUUUAGGUACGUAGUACAGUUCACUUGUUCUUUCAUUCACAGAAUCUCACAGAAGAUCCUAACCAGUAAAAGGCAAUCCAAACACUCUUUUUUUAACAAAAGAAAAGUAGAGUAAAUUGUGUGGGUAUAGUUCUUAACUUAAAACAGCCAAAGGAUUGGACUGGAAUAUUUAAUUUCAGCACAUUAAUUAUUAUAUUUUUUAUUAUUAUUAUUAUUAUUAUUAAGCAGUAAUACUUCAAUACCCCAUAUAAAUCUGACAUUUAUUCUUCUUAUAGAUGAUUUAGAUUAUAUGACCUAGAGAGCUGACCUAAUAUUGAAGCAUUAGUUCAUCACCAGGUAUAUUAUAAAGGGUAUUUUGGUUUUUGUUAAAAUGAUUUUGGUCUGACAAAAUCCAUGUUUUAUUUCAACUAAGAAUACUGUAUGACUUUUCAAAUGCUGACAACAAUAGUUGGAUUUCAAUUACUAACCAAAUUGUAAUAAUAAAUUCAAAAACAACAAUUUAAAGACUUAAUCUAUAAAUCAAAUUCAUUUUUUUUAAAGUAUAAAACAAUUUUAAAAUAAUACUUUCAGUUCAUUCAAAAUCUUUAAUUUAAAUCAAAAAUAUAAAUUUGGCCUUUAAGAUUAAAAGUCUUAAUUUAGAUUCAAAUUUAAAGUUUAAUAUAAUUUUGCAAAAUUAAUUUUACGAUUAUAAUACCACUUCAAAAUUAAAAUUUAAAUUUAAUUUUUUGUGCUGACUACUUAUAAAAAUAUAGGUAUUAUCAAUGUAGUAAGUACAAAGUAAAUAUGAUAUUUAAUAUUAAUAGGAUGAUGACAAUUUAGUAGUGUUACUAUUUUUUUUUCUUAAUAUUGUAUAUUGAACAAUUCAAUCUCGGUAACCUAUGCAACAGGUUAUUUAUGUAAAUCCAAUUAUACCCUUUAUAAUAGAAUUAGAUUUUAAUAUUUUAUGGGUGUAUUGAGCGAUUUCUCUUAUUAUGUUUAUUAUUAUUAACGAUACGUCUUGAUUGUCAUUUUGAAAAGCCUAAGUUUUCAUACUUUUCAAUAUUUCGAUGAUAGAACAUUCGAAUCAACGAUUAUUUAUGUUAUGCAUUAUUCUCGACAAUGGAAUUAUCCAAUUCGACGAUUAUUUAUGUUAUUGCAUGAUCUACGCUAUUAGAUACAUACUAUAUCUAGAAUUUAAUUUCGUGUUUUUCGAUAUUCAUUUGCUAAGUGAUCAAAAAAGGCUGAAAAUGACGUAUUUUAACAUGUGAACCAAUUUAAAAUUAUGUGAAAUUUUUUAAAAAAUGUACUGCCCUACGUAUUCAAAGAGCCGAGUAUCAAUAUUUUUUAUUUAAAUUUAAAGUCUUUUAUUAUUUUUUUAUGCAAGAUUUUUAUUUACAGCCAUUUAUUUUGAAGCUAUUGUGUCAACUAAGCAAUAUAAUUAAAAAAACUAUGAAAUUUGAUUUCUAACGUAGUCGCAACACUGUAGAUUAUGUCUAACCAAGCCGAUUGCCAAAUCGGAUACUCUAUCAUUAAAAACAACUUGAAAAUACGAAAAAUUUCAUAUUUUCGAAAGCAUAGUAGCCUAGCUUCACGUAUGUUCAUUGUUUGUAAGUGCAACCUUUCUAAAAUUUUUUGCUACACUGAAUUUUAUUACAAACUUCUUGGAUAUAACACCCCAUAAAUCGAGCUAAGCUAAAGCGGUGGUAGAACUAUUAAUUUUUUUUUUUUUUUUUUUUGAAGAGAGAGAGAGAGAGUAGGUAGCACGCUACCCGCUUCGUUUAUUUCAUUUAGAAAUAAACUUAGCUGGAAAUAUGAAUCAACUAGGAUUCGAACUUGGAUCUCGGGUACCAACCACUAAACCCUUUGCCACUUGCUUUAAGGACGGUCGGUGUGGUAGAACUGUAGUUGUUGUUAGAGCAGAACUGAUUAUACUGAAACCGCAAAGAGGAGAUAGGUAUGAAUUUAUUAAUGUUUCUUUGAUUGAACUCUUGGUUCGAUUAGUUGUUGAAAUGUCUAUUACAAUCUAAAAGUUAACAGCCAAAUAGAAGAUCCAUCUUAAUUUUGCUAUAAAAAAAAAGUAUUUAGCAGGGUUUCUGAUCAGAAGUUCAACUUUUUUUCUUUUUUGAGAGUUCUUUUAUUUUAUUUAGAAAUAAACUUAGCUAGAAAUAUGAGAAUCAAUUAGGAUUCGAAUUUGGAAGGUAUCUCGGGUAUCAACCACCAAGCCCUUUGCCACUUGUGCUAGAGACUGUUGGUAAGGUAAAAAUUUUUCGAACAAUCAAAUUUAGACUUAUUAGCGAAUAUAAAUUCCAUAAACUCGUAGUUUAUAUUUCACGUGAAAUUACUCUCAUAUGUGACUCUUAAAAUUUCCACACGAAUUUUGUGUGCUUUGUUAUUAUUUAACCAAGGGGGCUUAUUAUUUUGAUUUUAUUAAAAGGCUUUCGUACUCAUAAUAGCAGCCCGUGAGGGAAUCACAUGAUCCAAAACUUUUGUCCACUUCAACGUUAAACUUUUUUAUUGUCUAAUUUAGACUAAAAAUGGCUAAAUUACAAAAUUUUGGUGAUCAAACUAUCAGGCGGGUGAUUAUUUGAUUUUCAAAUUUUAAUUUAUUAUAAUUUCUAGUCGAAACUGUGUAAGCUGUUGCAGUUAAAUUCCACAACUUAAUAUAGUUGACUAAGGCUUAGUUGGGUAUUGAUCUCUAUCUAACGCUAUUAUAUAAAAUGGAGUUGAGAAAAAAGCAUAUAGGGAUAUGCUUCUGCGUUCUCCAGUGGGACCGUAAAAAAUAUAUCGUAACCAACUCAUCGCGAUAUGCGGAACGCAUGCAAUAUUACGUACGGAAACAAACAGGGUAUUUUUCUAACGUAUUUUCUCACCGCACGUAAUGCAAUCUCUCCGCAAUCCCAAACGAAGCAUAAUAAGUAAUGUGUCAUCUCAAAAUAUUGUAGAAAAACUGUUACGACCCGUUUGGUUCGGCCCGCUAUUUUGUGGGUCAGAAUAGGCCCAGCCUGGUCUAUUGGGCUUGAUUGGGCCUACUGUUGGGCCGGCUUUAUCUUUAAUACGAUAAUAAUAUAAUAAUCUAUUUGGGUAUGAUAUAAAACACUAAGUUUCUGUUUGGAUGCAUAAAUAUCUUAUUAGAUAUAUUUCUAUAAUUUAUAUUUGAUAGAAGAAAAGUAUAAUCAAAGUCUGAAAUUAAAUACUAUAUUCGAUUUUUAAGCUAUUUGUUAGUAUAAAAUCAAUCAUCUCGUAGAUGAGAUAUGCUUCUUUUUUUUUUUUUGAGAAAAAGGUAGCGCGCUACCUGUUUCAUUCAAUAAGAGAGAUGAACUAAGCGUACAAGGUGGAAGCAACUUAGGCUCCCGGCAAAAAUCGAAUAAGAAAGAACAAGAAAGAAAAAGAAAGAAAAAAGAUCAGAGGGAGAUAAAGGGGAGAGAAAAAAAACGGGUUACAAAAGCAAGAUCCAAGAGUUAAACAGGGUUAAAACUCUGUCCGAGGCUCUGACGAUGUUGGGAAGAUUCAAGAAGAAGACAAAACUGUUUCGCUCGAUCCAGACGACCCACCAAGUAGCCGCUAGCUUGGUUAAACCUUUAGCUCUUAUAGUGGCGUUGGGGAUUUGUGAUAGUAAGUUUCAGAGAUCUUGGAUGUCCUCGCCCGAAGCGUUGUUCGGUAUCUCAGCUAGUCGGAGAAGAAGAAAUCGGACGAAAACGCAAUUGUAGAAAAAAUGAUCGCAGCUUUUCAAGGAAAGUGCACAGAAGACGCAACUAGGUUCCACUUUGAUCCAUCGAUUGGUGUAGAUAAGAUAUGCUAUUAUAAUAAAAUAUAACUUCCAAACAAGGACCAACCUACUAAAAAAUUAUAAAUUUUAGACCCGGAAAAAAACAGUGGGUUACCUAAUUGAAAAUUUGAAAAAGUAUUGGGACCAGUGGUGUAAUUAACUAUGCUAAGGGAAACAUAAACGGUAGGGAUUCAAUUGAAAAAACUAUAAAAUUCUAAAAUUGUAUUUAGAAUUUUAGGAUUUUGGGAUUCAAUUUAAAAGAAUUUAUUAUUAUAAAGAAAAAGAGAAAAAGAAAGUGAAAGAAAGGAGUGGAUGUAGGAGGCCGAUGUGCUCUUCUGUGGUGGACCCUUUUUCUAAAUAAUAAUAAUAAUAAUAAUAAUAAUAAUAAUAAGAAAAACUAAAAAAAAAAAGAAAAAAAAAAGUAAAAGAUAGAUAAAGAAAAAGAAAAUGAAAAAGAAAAGACAAACGAGACGCCCAAAAUUCUCUCCUUUCUCUCUCUCUUCCACAACGCAGAUACGCACACUCUCUCUAUUUCUCUCUGCGUGUGUGUGUGUGUGUGUGUGUGUGUGAGGGAUUUGGGGGUUGAGAUUCGAAUGGGGGAUCCGGCGAUGAUCGCCGGGAUCCGGUGAUGGGCGGCCGCCGCCGAUGGAAUUCGCCGCCGCCGCCGCCGCCGCCGCAGCAGCAGCCGCGAGGCAGAUGCGCGGCGCGAGGGCGGAAGUAGUGGCGGCGGGUGUGGAUGCCUCGUCGUCGGCGCUCGAUGAAGAAGGUUGGGGUUGGAGGGUUAGGGAUUCUGGAUGUUGUUGUGCUACUCUACUCUCUUCUCGAAUUUGGGGUCUUUCUUUUUUCGGGGGGGUGAUUUUUUUAGGGUUUUAUUCGCUAGAGUGUGGUCGGAGAGGGGAAAUUUAGUCGUUUGUUUUACCAUUGAAUUGUUGCGUUUGUGUUGAUGGAAAGGUCGAUUUUUUAAAUUGGAAUUAUCUAUAUUUUUUAACUAAAUCUCAAUCGGUGCCUUUCUCUUUUUCUUUUUUUUUAAAAAAUAAAAAUCGCGUGGUUAAUUUGGUUUAGGCUUUGGUAAUUAGUGCCCUUUUUAUUUUGGCUCUAUUUUUUUGAUUGCAUAGGUUGUCGUUUCGUGUAGUUUCGUUUUGUUUGUGUGGGAGUAUGAAAAAAAAAGAAGAAAAAACCCUCUUUUUAAUCCAUUUCCGGCGCCAAAAUUAAUUACUCUGUAUUUGUUACAGAGGAAAAGCAAUUCCAUGAGGCAAUUUCUAAACGGAUCAUCAGGAUAUUAAUAACCUGUAAAUAUUAAAACUUGAGAUAAUGUAGUAGUAGAAGUAUUGAGAUCGCCAUCACUAUAGUGCAUAAAAGUAGGAAUCUUUAUAAUGUUACUAUGAUUCUAAGUACGCAUGUCGAUUUAUUCAUCGGAUGGAUGCUUUUGCAGAGAUACUGUGGCAGAUGAACAUGAGAGGGAGCGAAUCGAUGGAAUACGGAACUUAUCCCGAGCGUCCGGGCGAGCCAGACUGUGCUUAUUACCUCAGGACUGGCCUCUGCAGGUUCGGCAUGACUUGCCGAUAUAACCAUCCUCCAGACAGAAGGCUGGUAACUUCAAUUGCUUCCGCUUUCUCGUAAAGUUGCAGCUUCAUUCGGAAAAUGCCUUCUUUAUGUGAAUUCGUUUGAUAAACUGUAUGUAGCGUAAUUGGCAUGAUUCCGUUUUGAGUUAGUCGUAGAAUCUCUCAGAAUGAUCUUUGCAUUCGGUCACUGCCUUGUUAGUUACUUAGUUAUGAUCCGUCUCGUUGAAUAUAUCAGGCCAUUGCUGCUGCAAGUAUGAAGGGAGGAUACCCCGAAAGAGUAGGACAACCCGAAUGUCAGGUAACUGUUAAUAUCCCUCUGAUCUUCUAAAUUGAAAGGUGACAGCUUGCUCCUUGAUAACGGUAACGAAGUCCAAUAAUGGACAAUGAUCUGAUCGUUAUAAUUGAAGUUGUAUUAUAAUGGCAUGUGAAUAAUAAGUGGAUGAAUGCGUAUGUCACCGGCAGUAAGCAUCAUAGGUUAUUAUAAGCUGCUGAAGGGAAAGUGCUACACUAAGGAUAGCUUUGGCUCGAUAUGCGGUACAUCGUGCUAUUGAUAAUUAGCCAAUCAGUUUGGAUUGGCCUUUGAAGUGUGCAGAUGCUGUCCUGCUGAUGCUUUUGGGCAUGGCAUAUUAAGAUUGCAAUUAUCAUUUCCAUGGAGUGUAGCGAGUAGUAAGAGCUUUCCUUUAUAUUAAUGUGUUAACUGAUGGUGAUUCUAUAGGUUAGAGAGCUUAUAAAACUAUUAGAAUAUGAGCAGCGGUAGCAUUGGAUGUUUCUCUAUCAAAUAUCAGGUUCCAUAAACUUCGAGUAGCGUCUUGUUACUAUAUUAUGCAUGCUGUAACUUGAUUUUGUGCUUUGACCACUCUCAGGCCUUAAAGCUGACAUUUGCUCAAUCCGCUUUUUGUAGUAUUAUUUGAAGACUGGGACAUGCAAAUUUGGAGCUACAUGUAAAUUUGACCACCCUAGAGAUAAGGCUGGAAUUGCCAGCAGAGUUCAAUUAAGCAUAUUAGGAUUCCCACUUCGUCCGGUUUGUGAUUGCUAUCCGCUAUUGCAUCUUUUAUUUGUUUACUACUCCCAAAAAUCUUACUAAUGGUCACUUUAUAUUCUGUAAAGGGAUUUCCUGCUGCCUAUUAACCUAAUCAUACUCAUUGUAGAACGAGAAGGAGUGCGCAUAUUAUUUAAGAACUGGACAGUGUAAGUUUGGGAACACUUGUAAAUUCCAUCAUCCGCAACCGUCUAAUGCAGUGGUUUCGUUACGUGGUUCUCCUAUUUAUCCUUCUGUACAUUCGCCUACGAGUCCGGUUCAGCAGUCUUAUCCUGGGGGUUUAACAAGCUGGCCUUUGUCGAGAGCUUCUUUUAUUGCUAGCCCUCGAUGGCAAGGCCCUUCGAGUUACGCUCAUCUUAUUCUACCUCAGGGGUUGGUUCAAGUACCCAACUGGAACACCUAUCCAGUAAGCCUUUUAUCCCUUUAUGCUUGUGCUGUGGUUUGUUUAUCUUCUUUAAAUAGCAACUUAAUCCAAGGAAUGUUUUGCUUGACUAUCGAAACUUAUCGACGUUUGUCACAGUUUCUUCGCCAGUAACUGACCUUUCGCACUACUUUACUGUUGACUAAGAAAGUGAUUAAUUUGCUAUUCUUUUUUUUUUUUUUUCUUCACUUUUCGUUUGCAAUUUUGCCUUAUUUUUAUUGUAAACUCGGCUGCUUAGCAGUUGAGGCGCAAGUCUCAAAAUGGCUGAUUGUCGAGGGGUCUCUGUACAUUUUUACCUUUUUUCCUUUGACCCAUAUGCCGGCUUUAGGUCCUGGUCUUUUCCCUUUCUCUUUUCGUUGCAUAUUUCGUAAUUUUAGAUACAUUUUCAAGGUGUUUGUAAUGUUAAUAAUAGCAUCAGACUAUCAAUAUUUAUCUCUGAAAUUUUCUUCUUUGCAAUGCUCCUAGUCAUAUCGCCCGGUGUAAGAACGACAGAAACUUAUCUUCAUUUAUAUUUCUUCAUUCAAGCUAUACAUUGGUCCUAAAAUCUUCGUAUUUCUUUCUCGCCAACCCAAGUUCUUUCGAGUUCAGUGAAAACUUUUACUACUAAUACUUACCUCUCAAGGGACAAUUGGGAUCUGUUUCAUCUUCGGAGAAUCGGCAACAAUCAUCAGGAAAUGUUCAAUUAUAUGGAACUUCUAACCAGAGUGAACCCAGCGGAGGACCGAUUGGACAAUCCGACUCGAUGCCUUUGGUUCAGUUUGGGUUGCAGAGGGAGAGUGUGUUUCCUGAGAGGCCCGACCAACCGGACUGCCAAUUUUACAUGAAAACCGGCGACUGUAAGUUCGGUGCGUCUUGCAAGUUCCAUCAUCCUAGGGAGAGGUUAGUUCCUGCUCCAAAUUGCGUGCUGAGUCCGCUAGGCCUCCCGCUGCGCCCGGUAAGGACCCUUCCUUCUGUAUAUUCUUUCUUAUUAAAUAGUGAAGAACUCUAGAUCAAGUUGAACCUGCUACAUCAUCUAAGAACUCUCUGUGUCGAACAUUGAGUUGUGCUUCAGUGAUUGAAUUCUGAUUGUUGUUUCUCUUUUUUUUCCCCCCUAUCAUCUCAGGGAGAACAAUUAUGUGUGUUUUAUUCUCGUUACGGUAUAUGUAAAUUUGGGCCGAAUUGCAAAUUCGACCAUCCCAUGCCGGCUCCCAUGGGGAUCUACGCAUACAGCGUCUCGACACCGUCGGCCUCAGCCAACGCCCCGGCAGUCCGACGUCUGCUGGGGUCGCCGUCAGGACCUUCAGAGUCUCAGCAAAUGGCUUCCGCCGACGACAACGGCUCUGGAUAGGGAGAUUGCGCAAGCCUCUUUGCGCACCACAAACUCGAUGACACCAGUGCGUGUAAAUUAUGUCUUCUUCAAUGCUGAAGAUGUACAGUUUUCUCUUCUCUUCUUCUUCUUCUUAUUUUUGUCCUAUAAGAGGGGCUAAACUAUAAGUUGCUACACAUAAUAGAACCCUAACUUGAGGGGGGUGUGUUUACUGUAACUUCAGUGUCCCUUUAUGCUGAUAGAGCUGCAUUUGCAUGUGUUCCAUUUUUGAAUGAAAAAUAAAGAAAAAAAGAUUAAAAGUACUGGUCUUUUUCUUCUUUUUUUAUCUUUUUCGUAACUCAAGCUCUUCAAAUUAGUUAAAACUCAAGCUGUUCAAGAUCUUCUCAUACAUUGUAACAUGGGUAAGUUAGAGGUAAAAAAUAUACAACAAAAAGAAGAAGAGAAGAAACAAGAGUAGCUUCCAAAAUAUUAGCUGUUUGUUUACUUGGUCCCCUUACUUUUCUGCUGCUUAGCUGCAAAGAGAAGCAACCAAAAGCUUAAGAACAACUUAAUUGAUUAGAGAGAGAGAUUAACCUAAUCUCCUUUUAGCCUCAGAUUUUGCAAAAAACUCCCUCCACUCAUCUGUUAAGACAAAAACAACCUCCUCCUCUUCUUCUUCUAUCUCCUCAUGCUCUUUCACUCCCUCUUGUUGGAGCCUGAUCAAGGUGGAUAUAAAAUAAAUGUAGUUAGGAAACUUUUACAAUUAGCAGUGUUUAUUACAAUGUAGCUUAAUUAUUUGAUCAAUUUUCAUUGUUGGAUAUCAAUCGAGCCACCUACGAGGCAUGCCCCCACUGUUUCCAUUGAUGAACCCCCCCCACCCCCCCCCCGCCUCGUAAAAAUCCAUCGCAAGCAAAAUCAACACCCAGAACUCAAGAGAUUCGGGGAUGAGGCGACGGUGAUCGACCUCAAAAAGAACUAGACGAGGUAUGAGGCGGUUUGAGACAUACCCAGCUGCCGAAAAGCCGGCUUUUUCUGCGGCGCGCCGUGUUCGCGAAGCUCCGGACCUCCUGGUCCAGCUGGGGCAGGAGAUACGCUGUUGGUAAGGAGGAGGAGGAGGAAGAAAGGAGGAAAUGGAGCUGUAGGGUGGUGGUGGUGGUGGUGGUGGUGUGGUGGUGGUGGUGGUGAGGAGGGAGCAAGGAUGGUUUUGUGAAUGCAAGGGGAGAGGUGGAGAAGGGGAGGUGGGUGUGGGGAAAUGGCCAAAUGUGUGAUGGUGGAGGAGAAGUGGUGGUGGUGGUGGUGGUGGUGGUGGAGAGAAGAUGGUGGUGGUGUGGUGGGGUUGAAAAUCUUGGUGGUUGCAUCUCAAAGUUUUGGGAGGAUUGGAAGCUCAAGGGCUUCUUCUAGGGUUUGGGCAAUGGCUGCCUAUUUCUGUGAGGAUUUUUUCUUUUUUAAGGGAAAAGUUCAAAUAUGUCCUGCCGUUUUGACAUCUCUUAUUUUAGUAUCAUAUGAUGUUAAAGUAUUAUUAUUUCUUGUAUUUUGUAAUUUUAUUUUAUUUUUUUUUUUUUUUUUUUUUUUUUUUUCGUUAAAUCAGUGACAAAAUUAAAACUAAAAGAUAUUAAAGUGAAUAUUUAAUAAACUAUAGGUAGGUAUCUAAAGUUUUUUCGUAUAUAAUUUAACAAAAAAUUAACAAAGGUCGACGAGAGAGAAAAAUGAAAUCAUAUAGUACUAAAUUGAUAUACUUUAAACUGUAAAGUAUUAAAGUGAGCAAAUGCGAAAUCACAAGUGGUAUUUGAAGUUUAUUUUUUUUUUCUUUACGAUAAUCCUAUAAAAAUUGCUAUAUAUUUGUCAAAUAAUUUUUUCAAAAAUUUAUUUGGCUAACUAAUCUGAGAAUUAUUUAUCGCCUUUAGAAAAGUGUGAAUAAUCAUUCGGCGUCUGUAGAAAGCGGUGAGCAUUUUUGUGAGGUUGUUAAAAUUAUACGAAAAUUAUUAUAAUUUCUAUGUGAUUGUUAAAAUUUUAUGAAUAUAUUGUUAGGAUAUCUUAGGUUAUUAAAAUUAUAUGCGAUUUAUUAAAAUUUUUAUGUGAACGUUAAAAUUAUAUACAAGAAAAGAAAUAAAUAAUAAAUCAUUUUUCUCUUUUUUUUAAGGGAAAGACAGUGGACCGUCUUUAAAGAAUAAGAAAAAGACGGUGAAAAGACGAUAAAUGAUUCACUGUCUUCUAUAUUAUAUUAAACACAGUAGAUGAUUGAUUGUUUUUUUAAUUAUUUUUCUCACUUUGACAAAAUAAAGUUAUUUGAUUAAAUAAUUUUUUUACAAAGCUAUUUGGCCAAUUAUAAAUUUUUAAAAGAUUAAAAUAAAAAAAGUCCUUUAUGUGCGCGUCACUUGACUCACUUCCAAGGCUCACUCAUCCAAAAAUUAUUUUAUUCCUGAUAUACUUAACUCUUUUAAUUUUUCAAACUUAAUCACUGCUCGAAAUGUUAUAACUAAAUUAAAAAUUUUAAUCAUAUUAUAUCUUAUAUAUAAAAUUAUUCUAAAUGCUAGGAGUCAUAAUUUUUACCAAUUUUUUAAAAUAAUCCUUACAAAAAAUUUAAUUGGUCAAAUAGCUCUACUAAAAUAACACAUUUUAGCAUUCUACAAUUUGCCAAAGAUAACGCAUUUGAACUAUGAAUAAUUUUGGGUUGGAUGUCUAAUUUUUUUCUAUAGUUUGAUUUUACUAUCCAUCAGUUUAAUUUAUUUGAUUUAAAUUAGUUAAUGUCAAUUUAACUUCAAAAUUCAAAUAAGUCGUAUGCUUCAAUGAUUUCGAUGUAAUUUUUACAACUAUAAAUUUAUUAAAAUAAAUAAUAAAUUUAAAUAUUAAAAUUAAAAAAUUAAAAUUAAAAUAUUAUUGACUAAUUUAAAUUAAAUAAAUAGUUAAAAUGUUAAGCAGUAAGAUUAAAAUUUGGAAAAGGUUGGACAAGUGAUUUAAAAUAGUUCGCUGGUCUAUUUUACGGUUUUACCUCCGUGAAAUUUACAUUUCACUACCCGUAGUUGGUUUCGUUUAAAAUUACGUCCCAUCCAUUGGCGUUACUCAUUACUCAAGAGUACACCCCCCCCCUCAUCAUUUUAUCUUAACCUCUCUCUCUCUCUCUCUCUAUCUCUCUUUCGAUCGAUCGAUCGAUCGAGAUCCAGAGCCCCUCCCCCUCCUCUCAUCUCCCUCUCUCGCUCGUAGAUCUCGUCUCUAGGGUUUCCCCUUGCCGGCUCUGGGCCUAGAUCGCGCGUCUAGGGUUUCCUUACCACCAUUCCGCGCUCUCCGAUCCAUGCCCUAGGGUUUGUGAAGCGAAGGUCGCGAAGCUGGAGCAGCUGAAGACGAUCGGGCGGGAGCUCGCCAUGGGCUCCCAGGGCGGCUGGGGCCAGACGAAGGAGUUCCUGGACCUGGUGAAGUCGAUCGGCGAGGCGCGGUCCAAGGCCGAGGAGGACCGGAUCGUGCUCCGCGAGAUCGACACCCUCCGCCGCCGCCUCGCCGACCCCGACGUGCCCCGCCGCCGCAUGAAGGAGUACCUCAUCCGCCUCGUCUACGUCGAGAUGCUCGGCCACGACGCCUCCUUCGGCCACAUCCACGCCGUCAAGAUGACCCACGACGAGUCCCUCGCCGUCAAGCGCACCGGCUACCUCGCCGUCACCCUCUUCCUCAGCGACGACCACGACCUCAUCAUCCUCAUCGUCAACACCAUCCAGAAGGACCUCCGAUCCGACAACUACCUCGUCGUCUCCGCCGCCCUCGUCGCCGUCUGCAAGCUCAUCAACGAGGAGACCAUCCCCGCGGUGCUGCCGCAGGUCGUCGAGCUGCUCGGCCACCCCAAGGAGGCCGUCAGGAAGAAGGCUGUCAUGGCGCUGCAUCGCUUCUACCAGCGCUCCCCCGCGUCCGUCGCCCAUCUCGUCUCCAACUUCAAGAAGGUACGCCACCCAUCAAAUUGCGCAUUCCUGCUCAUAAAGGUGCAAUCUUUCGUAAUCCUUCCUUUAUGAAAUGAAAAUGUGCAUGUAAUGGGCGCGAACUACUAUUAGAUUUAGGGCUGUGGUGUUGAUGAUAACUUGCUUGUGAUUUUAUGAGCCCAAGUUUUCGUAUUUCUGAUUAUUGCAGAAGUUAUGCGACCCUGACCCGGGAGUGAUGGGCGCGACGCUUUGUCCGCUUUUCGAUCUUAUUAGUGCGGAUACGAACUCGUACAAGGAUUUGAUCGUCAGUCUUAUCAGCAUUCUCAAACAAGUUGCUGAAAGACGGCUGCCGAAGACUUACGACUACCAUCAGAUGCCGGCACCAUUUAUUCAGGUACUAUGAUGGCGUAAUCUAUUAUAUUGUUUAUGUUUAUUCUUUAGAAAAUUUUCAUCUUCCUAUUGUGGUUUACUGUCGUCUACAGAUAAAACUACUAAAAAUACUCGCAUUGCUCGGUAGUGGCGAUAAGGAAGCAAGCGGACACAUGUAUACCGUCUUGGGCGACAUUUUCAGGAAAGCCGAACAUUCGACCAACAUUGGUAACGCCAUAUUGUAUGAGUGCAUCUGCUGUGUUUCAUCCAUCUAUCCCAACCCCAAGUCAAUAGAGGCUGCUGCUGCAGCUACAUCGAAAUUUCUGAAGGUUCAUUGCUAGCAUUUGAUCUGCAGUGGUUUUUUUUUUUUCCUUUUCUUUUUGUCCUUCUUUUGGAACUUACACAUCCAUGCAUUUCCAUAUCUUUACAGAGUGAAAGUCACAACCUGAAAUAUAUGGGCAUUGAUGCUCUUAGUCGACUAAUAAAGAUUAAUCCCGAUAUUGCUGAAGAACACCAACUGGCUGUUAUUGAUUGCCUAGAGGUAUGGAUCAGUCUCUUUAUUCCAAGAAUAUGCUCGUUCUUUUAGGUUUGCCCAUGGUUGUGGUUCUAAAAGAUAAAGAAUUAAGGCUACUAUAUAUUGUAUGCAAUGUCUUCAAUAAUGAAUAGUGUAGACAAUCUUAAACGAUCGUACUGCAAAUGAUAUCUGAUCUCAGGGGUCCUUUUCUCAGUAAAAACGACAAGGACCAAGCAAUUGUAAUCUUUAAGAAGAUUCAGGCACACAGUCUGAGUGAGAACUACGUUUUGAUCAUGUAUUUGCUUGUGUAGAAGCUUACCGUGCUCCUUUUGGAAAUGCCUUCGUUUUUAUAUUUCGAUACAAGCAUAUUGAUUUUGGUGAACUGCUUCUGGUUGCUAUGUAUGUUAUGAGCAGGAUCCUGAUGAUACCCUGAAGCGCAAGACUUUUGAAUUACUUUACAAAAUGACAAAGUCCACUAAUGUUGAAGUAAUAGUUGAUCGUAUGAUUGACUACAUGAUAAGCAUCAAUGAUAGCCAUUACAAGACAGAAAUAGCUUCACGCUGUGUUGAGCUUGCUGAGCAAUAUGCACCGAGCAACCAAUGGUUUAUCCAGGUAGGUGCCAAGAACUAUUUUCUUGCUUCAUUGGUUUGGUAAUUUCAUAUAUACUAUAUUUUGUCUAAUCUUUAUGAUUAGUGCCUCUAAUAAGUUUACUUUACAGACCAUGAAUAAGGUCUUUGAGCAUGCAGGUGAUCUUGUGAAUAUCAGAGUGGCGCAUAAUUUAAUGCGAUUAAUAGCUGAAGGAUUCGGAGGGGAAGAUGAAAGUGCUGACAGUCAACUGAGAUCGUCAGCUGUAUGUAUUACCUAUAUCACCUGCAUAUAAACAAUUAAGUGCAUUAACCAUGUUUCAGCUUUUAGAUUGGAAAGCUUAGCCUAUUCUCUGUUUCAUUGUCUUAUUCGUUUUCUUUUGCAUUUACUCUCCAGUUGUUUUUUUUUCCUAAUGCAAUUGUAGCUUGACUCUUCUUUUUUCUCCCAAUACAGGUUGAUUCAUAUCUACGCAUUCUUGGGGAGCCAAAACUUCCAUCUGUUUUUCUACAAGUAUUCACCUGUUAUUUAUAUCCUUUUCCUUUUUGUCCACCUUGAUCUGAUAAAUUUGUUUUCUAUUUUGUACUUCAAAAUCUUCAUUGAUAUAUUUUUGUUGAAGUUCAGGUAAUAUGCUGGGUUUUGGGGGAAUAUGGAACAGCCGAUGGGAGGUACUCUGCUUCUUAUAUAAUUGGAAAAUUAUGCGACGUAGCAGAGGCCCAUUUAAGUGAUGACACUGUAAAGGUAUUUGCAUCUUUGUGUAUGACGUGGAGUUUUUUGCUUGUAUACUUCAUUUAAGCAGUUUCUUUCUCUUUCUGAGAGAACAAUGUUACCUUGCUUUGUGUCCCUUUCAUCUUCAGUUCUGUAAAUCAUUUAUUAUUGUCGUAUGUAAGGUGUAUGCCACUAAGCCGAUGAAGGAACACAAAGCGAUAAUCAUGCAAUACUUGUGAAUCAUUGUUAGUCAAUGUAAAGAAAGUUCCUUAAUAUGGCAAUUGCUAGAAUAAUCUCUACUAAACACAUGGCUGUCAAAUAGGCUAGGCAACUGAAAGUAAUGAAUACUCUGAUUGCUCGGGUUCUAGUCCCGUACGAGAAGGCAAGUUGCGUCAGCAGCGAAGUAUGUAGAUAUGUUAAGACACUUCUACUUUCAAUUAUCUGGUGUAUACUUGAUGUAACGUAGGAAGAUAAAUAUGAAGUUGUUCCCGUAUUUAAUCUUAUUUGGGUCUAAAUUCCAUAAAAAAACAUAACAGUAACACUAUCAAUCGAAAUUACAUCUAUAGUUCAUUAUGAAGAUUAUUAUGAACUAUUUGUCUCUUGCUUGAACAAAUGGGAUACCCUAAAAUAAUAUAAGUUACUUCAACCUAAUAUAAAGCAUCAAACCCAGUAUUACGUAGCUUAAAUGAGAAGGCGACAUUUGUAGUUCCUACUAUUCAUUCAGGUGGCCCGAGCCCAGGAUAAUAUGUGGGCACCCACCUCACUGCUUGUGCUCAUCUUGGCGACCAUUGCCUGAGGCCAAGAAGAGCACCCAUAACAGAUACAGCCAUUUCUUAAACAUUUCUCUAAUCUGCCUACCUUGGUAGUCUGUAAAUGUGUUUUAAUAUUUAUAUGUUCUUCUUUUUUCCCUACUCUAUGAGCUUGUUGGCUGGAAAUUUUGGUGAUAAUUAACAUGUGAUUCCUUUCACUGUGGAAGGCUUAUGCAAUAUCAUCAAUUAUGAAGAUAUGCUCUUUUGAAAUUGCUGCUGGAAGGAAGCUGGAAAUUUUGCCUGAGGUACUUUUGCCCUUAUUCUGAUAAUAAUUAUUGCCACUUAUGUGAGGUCAUAACCUCUGGCACUUGGAAAGGAGACAAAAUCGUCUUACUGAUUUAGCUGAUGAUAGACCAUAUGGUUCCUUUGCUGACUCAAACAUGCUACACUUUUAUUCAUUUUGUCAGUUUUGUAACUCUUUUUUGAAAAUACCACAAGAAAAGAUUGAUAGGAGAUAUUACAGUUGCUAAUUGUUCACACAUCAACAUAUAUUGAAUGUGGUUAUUGCAGUGCUGUGGGGUGUUUCCCUUCUCUUUUGGUUUAUAUCUGUUUUUGGUAUUGAGAGAUGAGAAUGCUAUUUUUAUCAUUCAAUUUCUGAAAAUACGAAUUGUUUUUCUAUGCUUGUUAUAUUUCGGAAAACCUUGGAUCAUUUGAAGCUAGAGUUUUUGUGCCAAAUUUUAUUCUCAUCAGGUAGAAUUCGACUCAAAUUCUUCUGAUCACACAUUGGUUUCAUUAUACAUUGGCAGCAGUCAAAACUCGAGUUUGUUUUUCACCUAAGAUGGUGCACUUGCAUUUGUUGUAGUUAUCUGAUCUUUAUCCACUAUGUAACAAUUGUGUUGUUACUAAUUGAUAUACUGAAAUCACAUCGGUAACCCAAAAUCUAUGUCUUUCCUUGAACUUGAAUUGUCAGUGUAAUUUCUGACUUCCUGUUCAACAACACAAAUCUCUCCUUUUUUAAAAAAAUAAUAUUGAAUAGUAUACUUAUGAUAGUCGGUGACUUUUGUUCAAACAACAGUUGCAUGCUGUUUAAUUUUUUUUCCUAAUUAAUAUUUGAUUUAGUUGUAAUUGUUUUCAAAAUUUUUGACCUGUUGCCAGUGUCAAUCCUUAAUCGAUGAAUUAUCAGCAUCGCAUUCAACAGACUUGCAGCAACGGGCGUACGAACUUCAAGCCUUGUUGGGCUUGAACAGUGGAGCUGUUGAAGCCGUCAUGCCAUCGGAUGCAAGCUGUGAAGAUUUUGAGGUAACUGUACAGAAUUUGCUUUGUAUGAUGCAUUUCAUUCAUUUAGUGCUGCUCAUCAUCCGCGGCCAAUCCUACAUUGAAAGGCAUUUCUCUCGUUUUACAAAAUGUGGUCCUUGCAUAUGUAUUCUAAAGAUUCAUCUCUAUUAUUAUCCUCAUCAAAAAUUGCAUUAACUAAUGUCUUGUUAGAAUUACAAGUCAGUCUUGGUGGAGAUCUAUAAACCAUUUCCAUCAUUGUCCCUGCUGAUGGUAUAUAGUGACAUUGUGGAACCCUAUCUAUUUUCACUUGCAUGUCAAAAUUUGCUCCUUUUUUUUUUCCAACUCACAUUCUUUAGUUCUUCCGAGUCAAUAUCCCUUGGCUACUGUUGUAUAACUUAUAUCCUACACUUUCAGGUUGAUCGAAGCCUCUCCUUCCUCAACAGUUUUGUGCAACAAUCCAUAGAAAAAGGGGCGCAGCCUUACAUCCCUGAGAAUGAGCGAUCAGGAAUUGUCGACAUUGGCAACUUCAAAGGCCAAUACCAACAAGAGGCUUCUACUCACUCCCUCAGAUUUGAGGCUUAUGAGCUUCCGAAGCCCUCUGUAAUUCCACCACCAACAUUCGAACCCUCAAUUCCACUCAGUGCAACAACCGAUCUUGUUCCCGUGCCAGAGCCAACAGCAUACACAAAAGACGCCCAUCGAGCAUCUACUAAGAUGCCAUCUUCAACCGACGCACUAUCCGCUGAUGUCGGGGUUAGGCUUCGGCUUGAUGGGGUGCAGAAGAAGUGGGGGAAGCCAACAUAUUCAUCAUCCCCUUCUGCUUCUAGCUCAACUUCUUCUGCUAGCCAGAAUGCAACAAACGGGCUCACGCAUACUGAUGGAGGGGGAGGAUCAGUGAGCUUGCAAACACGAGAGACAUCACAUGAUUCUCGGAGACAGCAGCAGGCUGAAGUCUCUGCAGAGAAGCAGCGGUUAGCUGCUUCCCUAUUCGGUGCUUCAUCAGUCGCUAAAGCUGAGAAAAAGCCACCCACUGCUGCACAAAAAGCACCUAAAGCAGCAGCUGCUACAAAGGAGAAGGCAGCAACGACUACUACGACUACUGUUCCUUCUACCCCACCACCCGAUCUCCUUGAUUUGGGUGACCCGACCUCAUCCGAUACUCCUUUGGACGAUCCCUUCAAGCAGUUGGAAGGUCUUCUUGGAUCCACAGCAGCGGCAUCUCCUGGUAUUAUAAACCCUCCAGCAGCUCCAGCCUCCAAAGCACCUGAUCUUAUGGCGAUUUUCACAGAGGCUCCAACCGGGGUCAGCCACAGUUCCAUAGAUCCGGGGCUAUCUGAGAUUUAUUCGAUCAAUAAGAGUUCUCAUAUCGUUGCGACAAAAAAGGGCCCGAACUCGCAAGAUGCUUUACAGAAGGAUGCAACAGCGAGGCAGGUGGGCGUGACCCCAACAGGGAACAACCCAAAUUUAUUCCGUGACUUGCUCGGCUAGAAACCGAAGAGGAGAUAUGAUGAUUCCUUCAUGUUCGCAGACUACCUCGAAAUAAUAGUAAAAUUGAUCUCACGUCCGCUCGCCAGGUCGUAUUCGAUUUAUUUGGUUGAUUCUGAUGGAAUGCAAGGUCGAGAUCUUCAAGGGGUGCGCUAUUAUUCAUAGAGAGGAUGGAGUCUUCUUGUUAGCAUUAUACCCUUUAAAAAAAAAAGAAAAGAAAAAAAAUCCAUUUUUCGGGACUUUGUUUGAGAUGUGUUAUUUUUCGACAGCGGAAGUUGUAUAUGAGACCGCGGUAGUGAAAAGUUGUUGGGGGGUAGAGGGGCUCACAACUCACUGCACUUCUACUAGGAGAUGCCUACCCUGCUGGAUACUAAUACUUCUAGGGUUGGUUGUUUUAUUUAAAAUUAGCAUGGACAAAAUAAAUUUGUAAGCAUGUCAUCGGAUAUUUCUGUGUUUAGAAAUAAUUUGAGGUCGUCCAUUCAGCUUGAUUGCAUCUGAUGGAUAUCUUGGGACCAAAGAGUACUUGGAAACUCUCUUUGAUUGAACGGAAGUGCUUUGCGGAGAGCCUUACGCUUCGUUUGGAGGCUCCGUUUGGAAUUACAUUAUGUGCAGUGAAAAAGUACGAUGAAAAAAGUAUUUUAUUUAUUUUCGUACAUAAUAUUGUGUUUCAGGUAUCACAAUUAGUUAGGUUAUGAUAUAUUUUCUGUGAUUCCAUCGAAAAACAUACAAAUAUAUUUUUAUAUGCUUUUAUUCUAAUUUUAUUUUAUCUAAUAGCGUUAGAUAAAUUUUAAUGCCAAACUAAGUCUUAUUAUUUCGAGUAGUUCAAAAAAAAUUUUUAAUUGUACACUCCAAAAAGGUAUUGCCCUUCUAUCCAAAGAUAGGGUAUACUUAACUAGUCAUAUCACGAUUAGUCAGGUUAUGAUAUAUUUUUUACGAUUCCAUCGAAAAACGUAGAAACAUAUUUUUAUAUACUUUUAUUCUAAUUUUAUUUUAUCUAAUAGCGUUAGAUAAAUCUCAAUAUCAAAAUUAAGUCUUAUUAUUUCAAGUAGUUCAAAAAAAAAAAAAUUUAAUUGUACACUCCAAAAAGAUAUAGCCCUUCUAUCCAAAAAUAAGGUAUACCUCACUAGUCAUAUCAAUAUAUGAUUAAUGGCAAAGUCUUUACACCUAAAUGGAUAGGGUAUAAAUGGUACACACCUCUAGCAUUGCUCAAAAGAUAAAUCUUUCCUUGUGAUAGUAUCUCCUAAAAAGACUGAAAUGUAUAAAUCAUCCGGUACAGAAAGAGUUAACAAACUAUAUCUGUCUAAUAAAUAUAUUGGUUUACUAGGAAAGGUAUUAUCAUUAUCCUAUGUCAAUCCAAAAUGACACGAAGGAAAAGCAUAGGAUCAAUCCUACAUAUACAUUAAAUAACUACAAGUUCACCUAAGUUCACUCACCUCAAUCAUUAAAUUACAGACGACCAAGCUAACCUCACAUUAAUUAUAACAGUAUUAAGAAGAGGCAAAAAAAAAAAAAGCUACGUAACCUCAAUGAACUCCUAAAAGAAGCUUGAAGAUAAAAAAAGCUCGAAGAUAGAGCACGGCCUAUGCAGCUGCAGUGCUGAGAUCGGUAGAGACGUUAAAACCUGGAGGGAUGAACACAGCAUCAUCCCACUUCGACGAAGAGCCAUCCUACAAAGAGAAAGUAGUCAUAUUUGUAGCUUAUUGUCAUAAUAGGUUCAGGCCAUUAAAGAUGCAGUCAAAUGUAACAUUAUCUUACCUUCAUAGCAUUAAUAAUUUCCUCCAAAGCACAAACCUGACAGGAAAUAAUAUCACAAAAAACAGUAAUAAUAAGACGACGAAUUUUCAGCUAUUUAUAGUUGCAAAUUAUUCGGAAGGUACCGAAUGCCAUACCUGAAUAUCACCGUGCCUUAACGCGGGAUUUAGUUGCCUCUGCUGGCGAGAAGCUCUAGAAAGUGAAUCUUCUAGGUCCUCCUUAAUUAUAAUAUUAAUUAACAAUAUAUUAGCCUACGAAAUUAGCAGUGGCAGAGGAUAAAAAUAGAAGUGCUUAUCAUUCUAUCAACCUUUCUGAAGAAAAAUGGGCGAUAUCUCUUGUUUUGGCUUUUCAAGACCAAACUCCUUGACUGAAAUACACAAACAAAGAAAAGAGAGAGUUACUAAAUUCUACUAAAUUGCACUUGCGACUACAAAAGUGAAGUUUUCCAUCAGGACAAUAACACAGACAGUAUAAAGCGAUAAACUGACAGCAUCUGAAUAUGACAAAUGAAGAAAGAUGAGAUUUCUCAAAGUAUUGCAGUCCCAGCACAGGCGAUUAGGGUAAUGCCUAAAUCAUGAAGCAAGAGAAAACAGUGAAACGAAGUUGGGUCAUCCCUCCUAGAACUAAGGACUGCACAAAAGCAAGAGAAAAUGGACAGCUCACUUGUCAUGCAAGAAAAAUUAACUGCUGCACAAAGGUGAACAUGUUCCGCCCUCAUUUGGUUAACGGGUUAAUUUAAUUAUGUAAAGUAAAAACAUAUUUUAGCUAUAAAAAAAAAUUAGGCAAACUAGCUAUUCAAAAAUCUUGGCUCAAGCAUCUCUUCCUUAUAAUUGCAAAGAAUAGGCAUAAGUGUUAAAAAAAAAAAAAUGCAUCUCUUGCAAGUUAAAAGUUAGAAUUUAAGCAAAAUAAAUGCAAACCUGAAAAACUGGAACUCCAGGAAAACCAUCUGAAAUAUCCCCUAGCUUUUUCCUCUCCUGUAAAAAAGUAAACCAUUUGCACACGUACCUCUCGAGAAAAUUUGACCAGAAUAUCAACAUAUUCUAAAGAAAACUUGUAUAUAAACACCUUCAUCUUCAACAUUCUGGUGUAUACCAACCCAAAGGCUAGUAAGCUCGAAUUGGUACUACUUUGAACUUUUGAUUUGCAAAUAAACACUACAAUGAGAUUAUAUAACCCACACAAAACAGCAUAUGUACAAAUUUAUGUUACACAGUGAAAAUAUGCAAAAUAAGCUUUUACGGAAUACACACGCAGAAACUAAACAAGUACUCGUGUUCAUAUAGAAAAGGUACAACACAUGAAAGGUUCCUUUUUUGAAAAAUACGACUUGUCCUUAUAGAGUUGCAGAAGAAAGACAUGCUCACCAUAUUGUGGAUAGUCUAAAGAUUGAAACCUAAAUAAAUAUUGUCUUCUUAAGUGUUCAAUUGUGGGUCCUUUCAUCGGUGCUGCAUUCUGAUUGAUCUUUCUAGGCCAUUAUGGCUUCUUUGGGGCCCUAAAGGCCACCCACGAUAAUGUGUACUAUCCUUAUUUACAUAGAAAGGGAACUCACCGUUAUCGCUUUUGCCACCUGAGAUGAAUCUGGGAUGAAUCUAAAGGCGACCCCAUUGACCUUAAGCUCGAAAACCUGCAACAACAAAACGCAGAUGAAUAAAUAAACGAUAUAAUAAAGCAAAACCAAGUAAGUAUAUCUUGAUAAAUAGGACAGAUCAAAUGCAUCUCACUAUAUACCUCUUGAAAGCAAACAUGAUAGCCUACAGCAAUCAACAGUUACAUGAUUACUUUCUUAUCAAUUUUCUUGCGCGUGUGAGAGAAACUAAGGGUCUUAAAGGAAAAAAAAAAAAGAAAAAAAGAGGCUAAAGGCAUCGAGAACACCAUGUUCCAGAAGCAAUAUUGUCAAUUUCAUCCUAACAAAGUCAGGAAACAAGGCAUAGAGGCUCCAUUCCUAGUUACACAGAGAAAUUCAACAGCAACUAAUACAUCAAAUUACAUGUGCGUAAAUUAAUUCAACGAAAAGAACACAGACAAGUGUUAGAUCUAGUGAGCAAACAUAAGAUUGACAAGAAAUGGCCUUGAUUACUUCAAAGUUAUCAUUCCUAGGUGGUUUUGAUUUCCCACUAGCUCUAAAAGAUAUUCCCGACCGAUAUAAACCAUUCUAAUGCAAAUAUUGUUCGAAUUCUCAUCAUCCAAAACACUCACUUCAAUCACGCAUUUCAUCAAACAGAUUGCAGGCAACGAAGAUAAAUCAUCUUGGCUAGUCAAACCCACUACCUGGGGCCUAUUCGGCCCUACUGUGGUGCGUAGUGCUCUUCGAUAAAGUGCUAUAAUGGUAUUACGAGUUUAGAAUCUUAUUUCAGUUUUUCGCCCGCAACAGAAGCAGCUUCCUUUUUCUGCUUUCCAAACACUCUACCACACUCUACCGCUGCUACUGCCGAAAGCAGGCGCAGGCGCAGCCGCAGCCGCAGCAGCGCAGGCGCUUCCCUCACCUUAUUCAGCGCGACGGUGACGACCUUGGACCCCUCCCGCAUGUCGGCGUUCAUCGACCUCAUCUGCUCCAGGAGCGCCUCGGCGUCGCCCCUGCUGAAGCAGAAGAGGCCCAGCGACUUGCCGCUGCGGGCGCCGGAGACGAGCACGAACUCCUCGGCGGAGUUGCUGAGCGCAUAGACGGGGACCCCGGCGAGCCGCUCCUCGAUCGCCACCCUCGCCGGCGCCUGCCCCGCCACGGCCGGAGCGGGAGCCGGAGCCGGAGCCGCCCCCGCCGCCGCCGCCGCCACCACCCGGGCCCACAAGGGCUGGGCUCCGAGGGAUGGGGAGGAGGACGCGGUGGAGAUGUGGGAGAGGAGGGAGGUGAGGGGGUUUGGGGGAAAAAAGGGUCUUGGGUCGGUGGGGGUUUGCGAGGGUGAUUGGGAGCGAGGGUUCGGCCAUGGCCAUGGCCACGGUAAAGAGAGCGGCAUCUUCUAGAAGAAAAGGGAAACAAGUAGAAGCUUCGCUUCUAAUUAGAGAUAGAGAGAGAGAGAGAGAGAGAGAGAUAAGAGAGGGAAAAUAGAGCUUUGCACUUCGAACCGAUUAAUGCUUCACUACACUUUUUCUAAAUUACUAAAAAUAUUAAAAUUAAUUUAUUUUUUUAAAUAUUAUUUAAUUUAUAAUUAAAUAUUUUAAAAAUUAAUAAUAUUAAUAGCCAAUGUGAUGUAUUUCUAAAUUUAAUAAUAAAUAAUCAGAUUCAAUAAAUUUUUAUAACAAAUCUUUGACUAUUUAGAAGUAAAUCAGUACAUUAAUUUAAAUUUAAUUAUUUUUAUAUUUUUAUAAAAUUUUUAUUUUUAGUAUUUAUUUAGACUACUCAUUUGAUAGAUAAAUAAUAUCGAAAAAUUAUAAAAAUUAAUUUUUAAAUAUUUUUAAUGGUAAUAAAGUCUAAUAAAGUCGAUCGUCGAUUUGGAGACUACAACAUCAAAAAUAACUUGGUAACGCGGAGGUCUUUUUCUAUCAGUAGUAUAAUAGUCAGAUUUUAGAAUAUAUAUAUAUAUAUAUAUAAAGUUGAGUAGGAAUACUAUUAAUAGUAUUUCAAUUUUUUUGCAAUUGAUUUUUUAAUUUACGCUUUAAUCAAUUUUAUUCUUCAGAUCAUACUCUUCAACCAACCAUAUUUGGAUUCUUUAAUGAUCGAAUUUUUAAUCGUUGGAUCUAAUCUUAAAUUAACAUAAAUUUUUGAAUCAUAUUUUAUUUAUUCAAAAAUUUACAAAUAAUAAUAAAAAUCUAAAAGUUUUUAAAAAGUAAAUUCAU
rnacentral:lncRNA from 1 species